rnacentral:lncRNA from 1 species
UGAUUUCUUCUCUUAUUUUUGUUUAAUCUAUUCAAAUUCAUGUAUAAAUUUACAGGUGUCAGAUAUUUGCCUAAUUAUCAUGUAUGUGUUAAAUUCAUUUUGGGUGAAUUUUUAUACUAUUUAAUCAACUUCAAAGUUACAUGGGUUUGGCCAAUUAUCACAUAAUCUCUUCUUUGACUAUUUGAUUAGAUUUUUGUUCAUGCGUGGCUUAAUUAAUUUCGAAAUCUUCUUACUUGUGAGUGUGGUCAAACCCCAAACAAAUGAAGAAGUCUUCUGGUUUUAUGUCUUAAAUAGAGUGCCUGUAAAUAUAAAAUCGAGAUUGAGCUAAUGAGUGAAAAUGAUGGUACUUGGAUUUUUUGAGGCUCUGUUUUUUUUUCUUUACUUUAAAAGCUAAUUUGUUUAGCUUUACCUUUGAUUUGAAUUUUUUGCUUCUGUUCUUUGCAGCCAACCUAUGAAAAUGGUGAUAAUUGGGCUCCAAUAAAUAUUGAUUUAAUAGGAACCACAUUGGUAAGCCUAGUUGCAAGACAAGAACUACUUUGCAAAGCAUGCUAUGUGUAUAAUUCUGAGCAUUAAGGAUUCAGUUUCUGAACGGCAAGCUUGCUGGCUGGGUAUAAAUGUUCCAAGUGCCAAUCCCACCUUAUGUAAGCACAAAAUAUAGUCUCCAUUUCCUUUUUGGAUUAUAUUUGUUUGUAUAGUUAUAUGAUACUGGAUUUUAAUUUAAGAAUUUGUGCAGUACAUUUUUUUACUGUUAGGAGUUAGUUUGAUCAAGGUUAUUUAAGUACUAAACUGUUACAAUUGAGCUUGUAUGCAUUUAAGUUCUUUAUAUGUAAAUGACAAUUAUAUCAAUGUGUAAUGUAAAUUGAAAUUUGCCAAUGUGGCUUCAAUUGUACAGUUUAGAAUGUGAAAAUAACUAUCUAAAUUUUAAUUUAAAAAAACAAUUGAAGUAUAGUAAUUUUAAAUUGUUAUUUUUUUUUUAUUUUUACUCGUGCAAAAGAUGACGGUUCUUAUAUAAGAACAGUCAUCAAAGAGCGAUAUAAGAUGACUGUUAUGAUACAAAACCGUCACUAAAAAUUAAUAUUUAAUGACGGUUAUUAAAAAUCCGUCAUUAAAAGUAUAUAUUUAAUGACGGUUAUUGGCAAAAAACGGUCAUUAAAACUUAUGUACCUAUAGCAUAUAAUGACGGUUUAUUAGAAUAACCGUCAUAAUAAGUAUACAUUUAAUGACGGUUUUUAAACCGUCAUAAAAAGUGUACCCCUUUUAAUGUCGCUGCCUAAGAUGACGGUUUUAAAACCGUCAUCUUAUGUCUUUUAAAACCGUCAUUAAAGGCCAAUUUUGUAGUAGUGGAGAUUAUCUUAUUACAAAACACAUGUUGUUUUUGAUCAAGUAUCUAGAUUAGUUCGAUUUCAUAAGUCAAAUCCACUGUCAUUUAGACUAGUUCUGUAUCUAAAACAUAAAAAGGAUCAAGAAUAUACUUCUGUAGAAUCAAGACUUAAAAAACAUCAUGGACUCAUGAUAACUCUAGAGGUAAAGCCAAACGGUAAGCAACUAGACUAACAUAUUGAAUAAUCUCAGAUGGGCCUUUAUAACGAGGGCUUAACUUCCUAUGUUUUCCAAAUUGAAGAAUGCCUUUCUAAAGGGAAAUCCGUAGGAAAACUAUAUCAUCUACUGCAAACUCAAGUGGCCUUUAAUGCUUAUCUGCAUAUCCCUUUCUGUCCAUCCUACGCUAACUUUAACUUCGUAUGUUUUCCAAAUUGAAGAAUGCCUUUCUAAAGGGAAAUCCGUAGGAAAACUAUAUCACCUAUUGCAAACUCAAGUGGCCUCUAAUGCUUAUUUGCAUAACCCUUUCUGUCUAUCUUACCCUAACUUUGACUUUUCUCUGAUGACAUUAAUCUUCUGAUUAGUACUUUGGAUGAUUUCUGGUUUCUGGACUUAACAAUUGCCUUUCCUUGACUUCAUCCCAACAAAUAGAAGUCCUGCAUUUCCUUCCAUAUAGAGCCUCAAAUGGUGCCAUUUAAAUACUAUACUAAUAAUAAUUAUUAUUAUAAGUAACUUCCAUCAAAGGCAAGUAUAUAUCUUAAUUGCCUCGAAACUGCAUGAGGCAUGCUCGAAGCAUAUCUUUUAAAAUUUGAAAAAACCCUCUUUGAUUGCCUAUUUGUUUACAGAUGAUAAGCUAUACGAUAAUAUAAUCUAGUACCUAUAAACUACUAUAAACAAGGCCAAACCCUAGAAGUAAACAGUACAUCUUUAUCUGAAAUAAAAGGUAUAGGAGCUCCAUACAAAUUUACUAUUUCCUUUAUAUAAAAGUUUGCAAUCAUACCAUAAGAGUACAUGCUCUUAUAAGGCAAAAAGUGAGCAAACUUUGUGAGGCAAUUAACAAUAACCCACACAUUAUUAUAACCACUAUUAGUAUGAGGAAGUCCUAUUACAAAGUCCAUUGUGAUGUGUGUUGGUGUAUAAAUACUAAUGCUAUUGGUGUCAAUGUGCAAGUGUACACAACAAGUAAUAAAAUUAUGAGUAUUUAAGAUCGUCUCCACAGAGAUUGAUGUUAUCAGAUUUGCUACAACAAUCUUAACAGUGCAGAUUUUGUGUCUAAAUUAAGAUAAACAACUGAUGAAACUAAUUUACUAAUUAAAAUAAAAAUAAAAUAAAUAAAAUGCAACAAAGUAGAUUAUCACGUCAAACUCAAGGAUAAAACUAAUGAGAAUAUAUAGUAGUUGAGUGAGUAAACUCUCUUAAUGAUUUUGACUAUUUUCUAAUGGUUGGCUCGGUUACUGCAGUAUCUGCUAUAGCACUGGGCAGAAUCCUUAUGUAUCCUCAGCCAUCGCAUGUUGGAUAUCUUAUAUCUAUAUGCAACCUAACAGUGAUCAAUUGUUAUGCCAACAUAAGAUAUAGCAUUACACGCUUAGGUUCCAUUUACCCUACAAGGUGAGUUCCUAUGUCUAGUUCAUCACUAAUCUUAAAUCAAACAUGGCCCUUUUGGGACUCAAGUAAAACUCAAUCCGGGAAACCCAAUUUAAGAUCAAGUAUUGCUUUGAUAUGUUUCACUAAGAUAGGCCCUUUUGCGGCUCUCUCCUAACUUGUAUCAUUAAAUGGGUGAUCAACCGAAAUAAUGAAUAAAAUAAAUACUAUCAAAAUAAAUUGCUACAGCAAACAUACAGCAACACAUAUAUUCAGUCAAUAAACUAUCAAGAUUGUUUAUCACUCAACCACAAAUAAAUUUAGUUCAUGGUUUGCAAAAGAAAAAUAAAGAACAAAGUUCCAGCCAUGAAACAUAUCCCCAUAAAUAAAUAAAUAGAAAACGAGAAAGCAAGAGAAGAAUAAGAAUGAUUGAGCUCCCAAUUGAUUUCUGCAAAUUCUCCUCUUGUGCAGCCCUUAAUCUCUCUCUUGAAUCUUGUUUUUCUUUUGUUUCUUUUUGUUUUUCUCCUUGGGUGACGGCUCUCCUCCAUUCCUUAUGAUGUGUGCUUCUUUUAUAGUUGAAAAUUAGGGUAAACGAAAGCCUAAGUCGCGCAUAAGUCAUAUUAGGAAACUGCAGAUCGCAAUUCUGCAGUUAUCCCGCAUAGAAUUUUCUCUGUCGUUGUUCCAGGAUUGCUACAGCAACGGCUACAGCAAUGGUUGCUAUAGCAAUAUCUAUAGCAACUACACUGUUCCAGAUUUGUUUCAACUCUUUUGUAGCCAUGUUCUUUUCUUAUUUUUUGCAAGUCUAUUGCAUAACAUUCCUUCCAUGAAUUAUAAGCUUCUGGAAACCUACAAUUAUGCACACAAUUUAAGCACAAAUUACUUUAAAUCGAGCAAAACUUAUUAAGAUUGACUAAAAUAAUUAUUUAUGCAAAAUGUAACAAAAAUACAAUAGAAACACAUAAUUUACUCUCUAAAUAGUAUUGAUUUAAAUCUAAAAGUGCCAUGAUAACUCUCAUUUCAUAGAGUUAUCAAUGUGCUCCCAUUUCCACUCAAGAAUAGACAGUGGUUGAUGUUCUCCUAUAGGUUUCUAAUGUUUUACGUUAACUUGCUGACAAGUUAAACAAUGUGCUAUAAACUACACUAUUUCUCUCUUCAUCCCCUCCCACCAAUAAUGGUCCCUCAAAAUGCGAUACAUCUUCUUCCUACCUUUAUGCAUAGUAUAUGCCGAACUAUUUGCUACUUCUAAAAUCUGGUUCUUCAAAUUUGAAUUAUUCGGCAAACAAAGUCUACUGCCCAUAACUAAAGUUAUAUUAUCUCUCAGUGAAAAGUUAGUAUGCAGUACAUUAUUCACAUAUUCUUUUUUUUAAUCAAUUUCGAAUCUUGAUCCUGCAUCUCUUGAAUCUGAUCAAUCAAAACAGGCCUCGCCUGAAAAUGUGCCAAAAGUGCUCCAUUAUGAUCCACUGCCACUUCUAUAUCUAAAGACUUCAAAUCAAUCAACAACAAAAGGUAUGACACUUUCAAGUGGGAUAUCAAACUCAAAGACUUCCUACGGAGAGCAUUAGCUACCAUUUUACCUUGCUUGGAUAGUAAUCAAUGACACAAUCGUAAUUUGCAAUCAACUCAACCCAUUUAUGUUGUCUCAAAUUUAAUUUCUUAUGUAUGUAUAAGUGUUUCAGGCUUUUUUGGUUUGUAUAAAUCUCACAAACAUCUUCAUAUAAAUAAUAUCUCUAAGUCUUUAAAGUAAACACCACUACUAUGAGCUCUAAAUCAUGUGUUGGAUAAUUCAAUUAGUUUUGCAUAAGCUAUUGGGAAGCAUAAGCAAUUACCUUUCCAUGCUGCAUCAAUACAUAACUCAAUCUCUAUCUUAAUGCACCAAUGUAAACUAUGAAUCAUUUUUUACCUUAUAGAAGUGUAAGAAUUAGAGUUGUAGUCAACCUUUUCUUAAGUUCUAGGAAAGUCUAUUCACAAUCAUUUGUUCAUUCAAAUUUCACUUUCUUCCUUGUUAAUUUAUUCACAAUCAUCUGUCCAUUCAAACUUCACUAUCUUCCUUGUUAAUUUCAUUAGAGGUAAAGUUAUCUUUGAAAAACCUUCGACAAAUCUGUGAUAAUAACCUGCGAAGCUAAGAAAACCCCUGACCUCUUAUAUAUUAGUCAAUCGCUCCCAAUUACCUACAUCUUUUAUUUUCUAGAGAUCUACAUAAAUACCCUUAAUAGAAAUCACAUGACCUAAGAAUUCAACUCUAUCUAACCAAAAUUGACAUUUAUUGAAUUUAGUAUAAAGCUGCUGAUAACUCUAUAAAAUGAGAGUUAUCAUAGCACUUUUAGACUUAAAUCAAGAUCACUUAAAGAGUAAAUGAUGUGUUUUUAUUGCAUUUUUGUUACAUUUUGCAUAAACAUUCAUUUUAGUUUAGUCUUAAUAAGUUUUGCUUGAUUUAAAGUAAUUCGUACUCAAAUUGUCUUCAUAAUUGUAGGUUUCCAGAAGCUUAUAAUUCAUGGAAGGAAUGCUGAUGCAAUAGGCUGGCAAAAAUAAGGAAAGAAUAUGGCUACAAAAGAAUUGAAACAAAUCUGGAACAGUGCAGUUGCGGUAGCCAUUGCUGUAGCAAUCCUGGAACAACAACAGAGAAAAUUCCGCGCAGGAUACUUGUAGAAUUACGAUAUGUAGUUUCCUAAAUCUGAUUUAUGCGCGACCUAGGCUUUCGUUUACCCUAAUUUUGAACUAUAAAAGGAGCACACAUCAUAAGGAAUAAGGGGGAGCCGUCUGUUGAGUGUUAGAAAAUGUAAAUUUAUAAAGGAGAAAAUCGUCAUUUUACAUUUCACGUCUUACUAACAACCCUUACUUUUAUGUAUUUAAGGUUCUUGUAAUUUAAUUAUGUGUGUUUUAUUUUAAUUAAGUUUUUGUGUAUUUUAGGGGCAUCAUAGUCAUUUCAGAAUAAACGAGAGAUCAAACGGCAAAACGGACAUCACUUUUGAACUCAGGACGGUCGAAAACCUUAGGAGGAGCAUAAAAGGAAAAAUAACACUAUUCACAUGUACGGUACUAUUCACAUGUAUGGUACUGUCUACGUUACUGUUCACGACACUGUUCACAUAGACGGAUCGAUGACGUGGCAUUGACCGAUGAUGUGGCAUUGACUGAUGAGGUGUCAUGAUCCUGUUGGUCUAAAAUUCUUAUAAACUGUUGAUGGUGACGUGGCAGCAUAUUAGUGGACCAAAACUUGCGCAUACGGUACAUGCAUUACACAGGAUUAUUUUCAACCAAACUACGUUACUGUUCAAAGCCGGGUCAAACCGUGUUACUGUUCAUCCGCGUGGUCAAACCGUGUACUGUUGACUGAUAACGUGGCACAAUCAUGAGCGUCCAAACUGUUUUUAAUUCGAUGGCCAUGAUUUACUCCAUGUAUCUAUAAAAAGGGGGCCUCCCCCCCUAAUUUGAUACCUCUGAAUCCAUUUUUGGGAUCCAUUUUAUGUAAUUCCUUCUCCAUCUUGUAUUUUCUAUGUAUUUUAAUAAAUUCCCAUUUUGCCCCUAGUUCAAUUAUGAGUACCUAAUUUUCUUUCAAGCUUGGGUUGAAGGUGAAGUCUCAACAUGUGUCAUGGGCUUUAUUUGGUAAAUUUAUUUUCUUUUCCCCUCUAAUUUUUGUGGAUGAUUUGACUUUUCGUAGACAAAUAAUAAUAAUCUUGUCUAGAUACCGCCUUGGUUACACCGGCUCUCUAGUACAAGGUUAUUAUUAUUUGGCACGAUAAGCCCUUAGCACCAUAUUGAUUAGAGUGUGGCUCAUGAGGUGUGGAUUCCCCCCUCAUGUUUUAAUUGGCAUUAAUAAGGAAUAUUUAGCCCAUGGUGCAUGUUGAUACGGAUCCAGGUACCCAAGUACGUCAUUUCAAUAGAAUUCUUUUCAAUUUAUUCUCGCCAUUUCAAUUCCAAUUUUAGAAUUUAUUCUCCCCAUUUUAGUUUAAGUUUUAGCAUAUUCCAAAUUAUUUCCACCACAAAUCCAAUCACCCAUUUACAAAAUUAAUUCUACACACAAUUAAAAUCCACCUCCUCGUGGGAUCGACACUCGUCACCAUUGAUCUAUAUUACAAUAGAUUCGUGCACUUGCGAGUUCAAUAAAAUUUGCACAACAUCGUCACCCAAGGAGAAAAACACAAAGAAACAAAAGAAAAACAAGAUUCAAGAGAGAGAUUGCAGAGAUCAAUUGGGAGCUCAAUCCUUCUUAUCCUUCUCUUGUUUUCGUGUUUUCUAUUUAUUCAUGGGGAUGUGUUUCAUGGCCGAAACUUUGUUCUUUAUUUUUCUUUUGCAAAUCAUGAACUAAAUUUAUUUGUAGUUGAGUGAUAAAUAAUCUUGAUGGUUUAUUGACUGGAAAUACGUGUUGCUGAAUGUUUGCUGUAGCAUUUUGUUUUGAUAGCAUUUAUUUUUAUUCAUUAUUUCGGAUGAUCGCCCAUUUGAUGAUACAAGUUAGGAGAUAGCCACAAAAUGGCCUAUCUUAGUGGAACAUAUAAGAGUAAUACUUGGUUUUAGAUUGGAUUUCAUGUAUUGGGUUUAACUUAUUCCAAAAGGGCCAUGCUUAAUCUAAAAUUAGUGAUGAACUAGACAUAGGGAUUCACCUUGUAGGGUAAAUAGAACCUAAGCGUGUAAUGCUAUAUCUUAUAUUAGCAUAACAACUUAUCACUGUUAGGUUGCAUAUAGAUAUAAGAUAUCCAACAUGCGACGACUGAGGAUACAUAAGGAUUCUGCCCAGUGCUGUACCAAAUGUUGUAGCAACCGAGCCAAAUAUUAGAAAAAUAGUCAAAACCAUUAAGAGAGUUUAUUCACUCAACUACUUUAUAUUCCCAUUGGUUUUAUCUUUGAGAUUGACGUGAUAAUUUACUUUGUUGCAUUUUAUUUCUUACAUUUUUAUUUUAAUUAGUGUAUUAGUUUCAUUAAUUAUUUUAUUUUAAUUUAGCACAAAAUCUGCACUGUUAAGAUUGCUGUAGCAAAUCUGAUAACAUCAAUUCCUGUGGAGACGAUCUUGAAGACUCAUCACUUUAUUACUUGUUGUGUACACUUGCACAUUGACACCAAUAGCAUUAGUAUUUAUACCCAAUAAGUUUUUGGCGCAAUUGCCGGGGAUUGAAUGUUCAUUGUGAUUUGUGAAAUUAGUUUUAACAGUGCUAAUUUUUAAUUUAAUUUUAAUUUGUUUAUGUUGUUGACAUAGGUGAUCUACCAACCCUUGCAUGCGCAAAUAUAAAUAUGUUGAAUUCCAAUUUGAUCCAGAAAUUGAAAAAAAUCGCAAGGAGAUUGAGAAUAGAGCAUAAAAAAUUACAAGCUGUUGUAGUAAUGGAUGACUUGCAAGAUAUGAGAAACUUGAACUGUAGAGAGGAGAUACAACCAGUCAAUGUACAUGAAGGUCUAAAUGGACAAUGUGUUCAAAGGCAGCCAAGGAACAAUAACAUUAUUCACAUGGCGAACGAUAGAGACAUAGCUAUUCGAGUCUACGCAAUGUUGACUCCUCAAGCCAUACAUUCGGGAAUAGUUAGACCCGACGUUCAAGCUGACAAUUUUGAACUCAAACUAGUGAUGUUUCAGAUGCUGCAAUUAGUGGGACAAUUCAAUGGGCUGUCAUAUAAAGAUCCUCAUAUACAUCUUAAGCUAUUUUUGGAAGUGAGUGAUGCUUUCAAGAUUGUUGGGGCAUCGCAUGAAGCAUUGAGACUCAGACUUUUCCCGUUUUCUUUGAGAGAUCGAGAAAGAGCAUGCUUGAAUUCUCUACCACCAGAUUUUAUUACUACAUGGAAUGAUUUGGCUAACAAAUUUUUGAUGAAAUACUUCCUGCCAACCAAGAAUGCAAAGUUGAGGAACGAGAUCACAUCUUUCCAUCAACUUGAAGAUGAGAGGUUGUGUGAUGCAUGAGAGAGAUUUAAGGAGUCACUCAGAAGAUGUCAUCAUCGUGGUAUUCCUUGCUGCAUAUAAUUGGAAACUUUCUAUAAUGGUCUCAACCCAAGCACUAGAUUGAUAGUGGACGCUUCAGUAAAUGGGGUAUUGUUAUCUAAGUCUUACGAUGAAGCUUAUAAAAUUUUGGAGAGGAUAGCCAACAAUAACUAUCAGUGGCCAUCAACCAGACAAGUUGCAGCAAGAGGAACAACAAGAGUCUAUAAUGUAGAUGCCUUAAUAGCAUUGUCAGCCCAAGUAACUUCAUUAAAAAAGAUGGUCAAGGUUAUGACUAAUGCUCCAGCAACUGUUAACCAAAUUUCUGAUGUGUCUUGCGUUUAUUGUGGAGAAUGGCAUUUAUUUGAUAAUUGUCCUUGUAAUCCAACUUCGGUUAACUAUAUGGGUAGCUUCAACAGACAAAACCAGAACAAUCCAUAUUCAAACACUUACAACCCUAGAUGGAGACAGCAUCCGAACUUUUCAUGGAGUUAUCAGAACCAGACUGCUGCAGUACCCAACAGAUUUUAUCAGCAAAAUCAAGAGCAAAGAAGCAUCAACAAUGAUCAACUCAACUCCCUUGAAGGUUUGAUUAAAGAUUAUAUUGUGAAAAAUGAAGCAGUUGUCCAAAGUCAUAGUGUAUCUUUGAGAAACUUGGAUAAUCAAAUUGGACAGCUUGCUACAGCAUUGAGCAACAGACCUCAAGGUAGUUUACAUAGUAAUACAGAGGACCCAAGAAGAGAAGGGAAAGAGCACUGUAAAGUGAUUAACUUGAGAUCUGGAAAGGAUGUUGAUAGUCCCAUUAGUGUACCAAAAAGAAGAGUUGAGUCCACUUCAAUCCAGAAAGAAACUCAAAUUGAAAAAGAGCCACAAUCCUCCACUUCACAGCACAUUGGUGAGAGCAGUCAAGCUGCAGUAUUUGCCGAAAAAUGAUAAUCCAACACCUGUGGAUAACGAGGCUGUAGCACCAACCCAGAACAUAGCAAAAAAGAAACAGUCUGCACGACCUUCUACAACACAGCAGUUUAGGCACCCACCACCACCACCCUUCCCUCAAAGAUUUCAGCAGCAAUAAGACAAACAGUUCAGCAAAAUCAUGGGAGUGUUGAAACAGUUACAUAUCAAUAUCCCUUUUGUGGAAGCUCUAGAGCAAAUGCCAAAUUAUGAAAAAAAUUUUAAAGAUAUUUUGACAAAAAAAAAUAAGACUUGGAGAAUUUGAGAUAAUUGCUCUAACACAAGAGUGCAACCGAAUGCUUCAGAGUAAGAUACCGUAGAAGAUGAAGGAUCCAUGAAGCUUCACAAUCUCUUGCUCCAUAGGCACUAAAUACAGUGGCAAAACACUUUGUGAUCUGGGGGCUAGCAUCAAUCUCAUGCCUUUAUCAGUGUUUAAGCAAUUGAGAGUUGGUAAAUGUAGACCAACAACAGUGACUUUACAACUUGCUGACAGAUCUCAUGCAUAUCCAAAAGGGAAGAUUGAAGAUGUGUUGGUGAAGGUGGAUAAAUUUAUUUUUCCGGUGGAUUUCAUUGUGUUAGACUUUGAGGCAGACAAAGAAGCGCCAAUCAUUCUAGGGAGACCUUUCUUAGCCACGAGAAAGACUUUAAUUGAUGUUCAAAAAGAAGAAUUAACUAUGAGGGUAAAUGACCAGCAAGUUACAUUCAAUGUGCUAGAUACCAUGAAGAGUCCCGAUGAGAUUGAAGAUUGUAAUAUAUCAAUGUUGUGGACUUUGUUGUAGCAGAGAGAUUACACAGUUGCUGCAGUAAGGAAGAAAUCAAUGUUGUAACAUUUGAAGAACUUGAUGAUGAAGAUCGUGGAGUAGCUAACAUAACAUGGUCAGGGGAGAAGUAACCCUUCAGAAUUGACGAGCAUAUCCAACAAAGGGAACUCACUCUAGACCAACAAGAAUUCAAGGUUAGCAGGCCGAAAGUGAAGCACUAUAUGGGAGAUGAUGUGAACAGCCUAAAGAAGGAUCGGUUCUUGAAGGAUCCAGGUUGAGCAAACAAGAAAGGUCAGGCUGAAAAACCUAAAAUCAAGCGCUAAUUGGGAGGCAACCCAAUAAGGGAAAUUGUUUUAAGUUUUUAAGGCAUUGAUUUUAGUUUUUAAAUUAUUUAAUUUGUCUUUUUGUUAUUUUAAGUGUGCAUCUAAUUUUUUGUCUUUUUGUUAAAUUGCAGCAAGUAAAAAAAAUGUGGGCAAAAACAGAGCAUGAUGGAAUUGCUGCAGCAUCACUUACAACAUGACAUAUAACAGAAGAUUCUCAUACAAUAUAGGCAUUUCUUACUUUUACAGCAGCAAAUGGAUUGAUCAAAUUUUAUGAUAAGGAGCGUUUGAGAAGUGAAUCAAAUAAGAAGUGACUCUUUUCAGCCUGUGCUGCAGCAGUGCUUCCAGCAACAGGGGAGUACCCCUACCCGCUAGUUUAUUUUACUUCUUUCUGUAAAAAUUUUCUUUCAUUUAGUUUUAAUUUUCUAAUUCAUUCUGCAUGUCCUUUUAUUUAGUGUAUGCAUGUCUGGUUUAUGUGGUUUUGUUUUAUGUGUGAGGACACAACACCACUCAAGUUUGGGGGGGGUUGUGUUUCUGAGUGCAUGUGUUUAUACUUGUGUUGUGUGUUAUGUGAAGCUCUGUCAUCUAAUAUUUGUGUAUGGAUUUGAAAACCUAAUGAAGAUAAAUUGAGUGUUAGUCAGUAUUUAUGAGAAUGCCAAGUAGAGAUAGUUAUAGAUGGAGGUUGAAAUUUUGUCCCGACACUUAGACUUUGGUUGAGUUUUAUGAGAAUGCUAUAGCGAAAACCAAAAAAGAGUAGAAAAUAUCUCAAGUUUAGGGAAAAUUUUUGUUGGACUGUGCCUGUUAUGAAAUAAAUUUUGCUCCAAUGGCUUAAGUUGCUGAGUAACCAGGGCUGAGUAUGUACCACAUAUGCAGACUUGAGUCCAAAGGCAACAAGAGCUAUGAGCAGUCCUGCAGCAAUUUUAUAUAAAAAAAAGUAAAAAAAUGGUGAUGAAGGAAUGAAAAAUAAAGAGGUCUGCUGCCUAGGAUAUUGAGUAACCUGGUCUGUUCAUGAGCCCCAUGUUCAGCCUUGAGUUAAAGGCGUCCGAAGGUAAGACCUAAAUAUAGCAUCCUGGAUGUGUUGCUGCAGCAACUCUGAUAUGUGCUUUGAGUGAGUAAUUGGGUGUCGUCAUUACAAGUUAUAGGCAUUCACAUGAAAGCUCAAUGUUGCAUUGAAGAGUUUAACUGAAAAAAAAAAUUUAUGUUUGUUGAAGCAUAAUUUGAGUUUAUUUAUGAAUUAUGCUCCCCCAUAUGUGAAUAUAUUUGUGUUCUACCUUUAAAUUAUAUGCAAUGUCUGUGUAAUGUUGUAGCACUUUUGGAAUUUGAUCAAAGUGGCACACACACACACUGGACAUAAUGAAGCCUAAGUCUAAAACUUGAAUUGUUAUGGCAAUUUUGUACGAUUAAAAGUGUGAUAUGAGGGUUGAACAAUCUUUGCAAAUUUGAUAACAAAGUUAAGUUAUUUGUUGCAUGAUUGUGUGCUUGAAGUGUUAGUGUUUCGUCAUUACUUGAGGACAAGUAAUGGGUUAAGUUUGGGGGUGUGAUAACUCUAUAAAAUGAGAGUUAUCAUAACACUUUUAGACUUAAAUCAAGAUCACUUAGAGAGUAAAUGAUGUGUUUUUAUUGCAUUUUUGUUACAUUUUGUAUAAACAUUCAUUUUAGUUUAGUCCUAAUAACUUUUACUUGAUUUAAAGUAAUUCGUGCUCAAAUUGUGUGCAUAAUUGUAUGUUUCCAAAAGCUUAUAAUUCAUUGAAGGAAUGUUGAUGCAAUAGGCUAGCAAAAAUAAGGAAAGAACAUGGCUACAAAAGAAUUGAAAUAAAUCUAGAAUAGUGCAGUUGUUGUAGCCGUUGCUGUAGCAAUCCUGGAACAACAACAGAGAAAAUUCCAUGCAGGAUACUUGUAGAAUUGCGAUCUGUAGUUUCCUAAUCUGACUUAUGCGCAACCUAGGCUUCCGUUUACCCUAAUUUUCAACUAUAAAAAGAGCACACAUCAUAAGGAAUAAGGGGGAGCAGUCACCCAAGGAGGAAAAACACAAAGAAACAAAAGAAAAACAAGAUUCAAGAGAGAGAUUAAGGGUUGCACAAGAGGAAAAAUUGCAGAGAUCAAUUGGGAGCUCAAUACUUCUUAUCCUUCUCUUGUUUUCGUGUUUUCUAUUUAUUCACAGGGAUGUGUUUCAUGGACGAAACUUUGAUCUUUAUUUUUCUUUUGCAAAUCAUGAACUAAAUUUAUUUGUAGUUGAGUGAUAAACAAUCUUGAUGGUUUAUUGACUGAAAAUAUGUGUUGCUAUAUGUUUGCUGUAGCAUUUUGUUUUGAUAGCAUUUAAUUUUAUUCAUUAUUUUGGCUGAUCACCCAUUUAAUGAGACAAGUUAGGAGAGAGCCACAAAAGGGUCUAUCUUAGUGGGACAUAUAAGAGUAAUACUUGAUUUUAGAUUGGGUUUCCUGGAUUGAGUUUAACUUAUCCCAAAAGGGCCAUGCUUAAUCUAAAAUUAGUGAUGAACUAGAUAUAGGGAUUCACCUUGUAGGGUAAAUAGAACCUAAGCGUGUAAUGAUAUAUCUUAUGUUGGCAUAACAACUGAUCAUUGUUAGGUUGCAUAUAGAUAUAAUAUAUCUAACAUGUGACGGCUGAGGAUACAUAAGGAUUCUGCCCAGUGCUGUACCAAAUGUUGUAGCAACCGAGCCAAAUAUUAGAAAAAUAGUCAAAACCAUUAAGAGAGUUUAUUCACUCAACUACUCUAUAUUCCCAUUGAUUUUAUCCUUGAGAUUGACGUGAUAAUUUACUUUGUUGCAUUUUAUUUAUUACGUUUUUAUUUUAAUCAGUAUAUUAGUUUCAUUAAUUGUUUUAUUUUAAUUUAGCAUAAAAUCUGCAUUGUUAAGAUUACUGUAGCAAAUCUGAUAACAUCAACCCCUAUGCAGAUGAUCUUGAAUACUCAUCACUUUAUUACUUGUUGUAUACACUUGCACAUUGACACCAAUAGCAUUAAUAUUUAUACCCAGCAAGUUUUUGUGCUAGUGCCUCAAGGUUUAUAAAGUAAUCCUCAAGUGCUCUGCAUGUUCCUCUCAACUAUAUGAAUAUAUUAGGAUAUCAUCAAUAAAUACAAUAAUAAACCGAUCUAAGUAAGACUGAAAGACCCAGUUCAUGAGAUCCAUAAAUUCUGCAGGGGCAUUGGUUAGCCCAAUUGGCAUUACCAAAAACUCAUAAUGCCUAUAACGAGUGCUAAAUGUGGUUUUGGAUACAUUAACAUCUCUCAUCUUCAAUUGAUGAUAACCUGAGCAUAAAUCUAUCUUUAAGAAAACUGUCACACCCUAUAGCCAAUCAAACAGGUCAUCAAUCUGAGGAAGCAAAUAUUUGUUACGAUUAAUGACUUUAUUCGACUUCUUGUAUUCAGUACAAAAUCUAUAGUUCUAUCUUUUUUCUUCACAAAUAAUAUUAGUGCUCUCCAUAGAGAUAUACUAGGUCUGAUGAAGCCCUCAUCAACUAGUUUUUGUAACUAUACCGUUAACUCUCUUAACUCUAAUAGAGCCAUCCUGUAUGGGGCCAUAGAAGUAAGGGUUAUGCCUAGAAUUAAAUCAACAGUGAACUCUAUAUCUCUAUUAAGUGGCAAGCCAAGAAGAUUGUUAGGAAACAUAUUCAGAUACUCUUUUACCAUAAGAAUAUCUUCUAAUUUCACAUCAUUAAUUUAGCUAUCAAUAACAUGAGCCAAAGUAGCAAAACACCCUUUUUGAGUAAUCGUUUAGCAGAAAUAGUAAACAUCACACAAGAAAGAAAGAUUUAUUGUUCCCUAUAGAAAAUUGUAUUAGAUUCUCCAUAUUUUCUGAAAGUUACUUCUUUUCGAAAACAGUCCACUGUAGCAUGAUUUGAUGAUGGUUCGUUAGCCAAUCUAUCCUCAGUUUAGUAUCAAAAUCAUGAAUGUCUUACGAAUCAGAUUUGUUACCAUGUCACUAUUAUCCAUUCUUACCAUACAAUCUCAAAAUAUACUCUCAAGCAACAAAGAAUUACUAACUAGUGUAGCUACUACUAAAGUACAAUCUAAUGGUCAUAUCUCUAUAUCCGUAUACGUGGAAAAUGUAUAAGAAACAAAAGAAUAGGUAGACCGUAAUCAAUUAAAACAUACGCCUUACGGCUAAAGAUAGUCAAAAUACCCGUCACGACAUCUCAAGUAGCAUAGACCUCCUACCGAGUUAGAGCAAAUAAAUGUGCUUGUGUAUACGGUUUACUUGGCUGACUUCUCUGUUGAUUACCACUAGUCUCUCCUACAUUGGACUGAGACCUACUGGAAAAUGUGGGUCCUCUUCUUUAGGAAUCUCCUCGCCCUUAAAAGUGACUACUGCCUCUCUAAAGGUAGUAAGGGUCUCAAUCUAGCAUAAAACUAGUGUUCGAUGUCAAGUUUGGAAAAUCUUUCUUCAAGUAUCCUGGUUAUCUAAACUAAAAGUAACAUGACAGACCGCUCAAACAUUGUCACUUGUGAAGUUUGCCACAAAUAUUACACUGAGGGCAAUUGCCUCUACUUACAUUGCAUCUCUGUCAAACAUUGUCGUGACUAUUAGAAGGUCUCUUCCUUCGAAGAAACCCUGGUCGUCAACUGUACUACCGCCUAGUUAAGAAAUCUUUGCUCCAUUUCUCUCCUUUGAGAUCUACUACUAAGUUCACCAACUGGCCAAAUAGGGCUUUGCUUAUGCUGUUACGAUUCAACCCUUUGUGCUUGUCUAUGACUCCUCUCGAUUCUUGCAACAACUCAGUGUGCCAAAAUCUAUACAUUCUGCUCUAAUUACUAAAGUACUUAUGCCCUUUCAAAGAACUCGUUCGAACGUUCUACACUUCUCCUUAUCAUUCGGUGCAACAAAUGGGACAAAUCUUAAUAGCUCAGAAAAUUUAUGCUCAUACUCUUCCACAUUUAUGUAUUCCUGUACAAGUGUCAUAAACUCAUUCAUCAUGUCCUCCAAUAAAUAAUGGGAAAGAAUUUAUUAGUAAACUCUUGCUGAAAAAUAUGCCCAAAUAACAUCUAUAUGCACCUUAUAACGACAUAACACAAACAUCCAUCAAUGAUACACAUUGCCCUCUAGCAAAAACUCAGUGAAAGAUAACCUUUCCUCAUCAGUACAUCUCAUCACAUAAAAAGCCCUCCGCAUUCUGAGUAAUCAUGACUCUAAACUCAUAAGGUCAGUAGUGCCCUUCAAAGUCAUAGCCACCAAAUUAGAAGCAUACCCAAUGGUGUUUUGUGUACCUAUACGAACUUGAACCUUUCUUCGAGCGAUAUUAGUAUUUCCUUUCAAAUCUGUACAUAAACUGAUCUAUUAUAGGCCUUGCUACUGGCUCCUAAUGAAUAUCAGAUUUUGCUGAAGUUGAGGCUAUGGCUCAUGUGCAUGUAGUACUUAUUCAUCUAUAGUCUCUCUUAAGGGUUCCUCUCUAUUCUUUGGUUGUGGAAGUGAACCUAGAUUAGUUAUAGAUCUCAUGCGUGGUCGGCUGCAUCUACGCGUGCUGAUAUCUAUAAAAUGUCAUGCUAUUAUUAUAUGAUUUAUGACCACACAUGUAUAUUAAUGUUAGAGCCUAUAAAAUCAAUAACCACACUCUGAUACCUAAUUUACAUGACUCGCCUCAACUUGUAUAUUUGAUCCAAGGCAAAUCAUGCGGUCUAAUAUCUAAUAACUUAAUUCAUGAAAAUAUAAAAAUGACCUCGGCCUCUACUAUAAACAUAUAAUAGCAUAUGUGUCUCAUCUGAAAGCAUAUUCAAAAUCUGAACAGUUCACAUCUCACUAUAUACACAUACAUCAUAAAUAUUGACAUAAGAACAUAAAUAUGCUCAAAAUACAAGUGAUGAAGCAAUACGUGUUGUGGCCUAACCUCAACCUCAAUUGAUUAAAAAUCGGACUACACAGAAUCCAACAGAAAACUUGAGAGAGAGUUAGGAUCAUCAUCGCAUGAGUAAAGUAGGGAAAAAAAUCUCUCAAUACCUAGUAGAAUUUAACUACAUCAUACGAGUAGAGUAAACUAACUGUCAAUAUGCAUGCGCAGAGCCUAUGGGGAAGGGUAUACAUAUGGUGACUGACAAUUACAUCUCAUGACUCAAUCAAACAUAUAAUAUGCAUACAUGUAAUCAUAACAUGAUAUUGAAUCAUAUUACCAACUAAAAUGUGUCACGGAAUAUAGAAUAGUAAAAGUAGUAACCACUUAUAUCUCUUGUUUCACUAUGGGGUUCGUUGGGGCUCUUGCGGAUUUCUAGAUUUUUGGAUUUCUCCUAAAAUACAGGGUUAAAAAAUUAACUGUUAGAACUGAUAUAACAACUUAUACAUAUAAUGUAAAUUAAAUCAUAACUGCUUAACUUUUAUAAAUCUAUUACCCACUGAAUUCCUGAAUAUAGAUCCAAAUGCCUAAUUAAAUUUCCCGUAAUAUUUCUCGAAAUUCUUGUUUUCAACUUCUUUUUCACUCUUAAAUCUUCUUUUCUUUGUUCUUAUUUCCCUUUUCUAAUUCUCUAAUAGCUCUCAAUUUCAAACUUGAUAAACUGAAGUUGCUCACAAUAUUUUUCACUUAUAUAGACACUGGCCGUGAGGUACAAUUUUUUCACUUAAAUAUAAUAGAAUUUAUUUUAAGCUAACAAGCCCCUUAAGUUUAUAAUAUUUAAUUUUAAGGAAUGAUGAAAUAAGUAAUGACAUAAGAAAUGAUGACAUAAGCGAUGACAUAAGUGAUGAUGUGAUUAGUUAUGUCUUUAUAUGGUCGGCCCUGCCGCCUAAUAUGUGAUGCUAUGGUCGGCUCUGCUGCCUAAUAUGUGAUAUUUCUACUUAAUUAUGCUAUGAUCGGCUAUGCCGCCUAUACUAAAGACUCUUGUUUUUAAAUAAUGUUGUGUGUUGAUUUUGUUAUGCAUCGAGGAAUUUCAAAUGUUAUAAGUUGCAUUGGAUGCAUGCAUAUCAUGGACUACAUUAUGAAUAAAAUAUUUCAAAAAAUGAAUUUAUGAAAAAUAGGUGGUUGUACUACCAGGUGGCAAAGUUCUAAGGAGGGCAAACCCUCAAAGCUAAGUUGAAAGAAAUCUUUUGGGGACGACGAUACGUAAUGCCUAAAAGAUCAACUAAUGAGGCCCAAGGGCAUAUUGUUUAAAGAGUACAAGUGACAGCCUUGUAGUGCAACAUACCUAGGGCCCUAAUGAAGUUGUUUUGUGUUUUGUAAGUUUCUUUUAAAAGCUUAAGAUGGUCAUCCAUAUGCAUUAUAAUUUAUACAUGCAUAAAAGUGUUAUCUUACUGGGCAUUAGCUCAUAAAGUCCUUACAUUGCAGGUAACGAUGAGUAGGGCAAGCUGGCGCCAAGUCCUAACCAAGACGAAGUGCAUAUGUGCAUAACAGACCUUGGGAUUUUAAGAUGGGCUCAGCUUUGUUUAAAAAAAAAUAAAAUAAACAUCUUAGCUUUAUGUAAUAAUCAAGUUAGAAAUAAACUAUGAAAUUUCUGUAUAACUUUUACUUUAUGAAGAAAGUUUUAUUUAUUGUGCUAAACUUUUAGAAAUUGUAUUAAAAAUAACUAUGUUUUAAACAUUUUUAAAAUAGAUAUUUAAAUGGAGUGUUACACUAGCCCACCGAAUCCAAGCAAGUAUGAGAAAAAUUAAGUGAAGCAGAUAGCUAAAUCAAGUGAGGCAUGCAUGUGAACUUAUAAAGCAGGCAAUUGGCUCUUUUUAACUUAAAAAGCCACAUGUAGCCUCUUAAUGCACAAGCGGUGCAUGAUAAUUUAUUAGUUUUUUUUAACAAUUAGCUAGCAAAUAGACUAAUUCCAUCAUAUAUCUUUAGUUGAGUGAUUUCCAAGAUAUUUAACCAUAUAAAUCAACCACAUUCAUCUAUCUACAAUAUCAGUAUAACACUGUCAAAUCAAAUCAAGGGUUCAGUUCCAGGAUAGUAAAGAAAAAUGCAAAAGCUUGUUCUACAGAGAUGAGGUCAUUGCUGGAUGAUUUCUUGAGGAGUAAUUGUACAAUGUUCGGCCAAACCAAAACUUUUCACUUACGUUAUAGCCUAUUGGUAACCCACCCUCUCAACGAAAGUUGAGGGAGUGAAUUACGGACCUCCCAUAAUCAGUUAAAGGUGGAUUUUCUCUCUCACAAAUAUGAAUAGCAGGUAGAUAUGUUCCUAAAAAUUAAUAGUAGAAUUCUCAGCUAGUGGAACAAAAUUAAUUUUUUUAAUCAUAGCAGAUGUCUGAUUGUAUGUAUAUAGAGACUUCUCAUUGAAAAGAUGUAGUUUUGAAAGGUUAAAAGUCAAUCCAAAACUCUACUUUCUCAAGCACUAGAAUAUAGUAUAUAUAUAUAUAUAUUUCCCACAAAGUAGUUUUUCAACUUGUGAUGUUAGAAAAACUGCAUAAAAUGGCUAUUUUGAGGCCAAUUUUAAACUAGAUAAAUAUUAGAAAAGAUACAUGUGUGGAUGAUUCAAAAUCUCCUCUAUGAGCUAACAUUCAAAUUGAUGCUUGGGUGAAUGAGAAAUUAGAUCUCACAGAGCACUCAUUGGUAUGAAAAAAUAAAGCAAAAUCCCACAUAAGAUUUUUAACUAACUAAUGCUCUCCCUUCAAACCUAUAUAUUGGCUUCCUUAUUCAAUUGAAAAACACAUAAAAAAUCCAAGUGAUUUUUACUCUCUUUCUUAAGCAAAUAUUCUCUAGCUUUAGGUUUCAACUUCAUAGAAUUCAAACAUUUGUUUAAAGUUUGUAGGAAUUGUGAGGUUGUGCUGUUAAUACUAUUCAAAUUUGUUGUAUCUUGAAAGACAAACCCAAUAUUAUUCAAGCACUUUUGUAAAGGUGGCGAAUUUGUUUUAAGGACACUAUAUCUUUACAGACCUCUAGUUAGUGAAUUUUUAUUUAUAAACUAUUGAUAUACUUGUUCUAUCUUUGCUCUUUCAAUUUAUUAUUAUUAUUAUUACAUCUUGUGAUAGACUUAUAAGCUUAAGUGCACUAGAAAAGUUUUGUCACCAGCCCUGUAUACAUUGCUUAAAGAGUAUGGGUUUUAAGCGGGACCAUUAUGACCUCUCUAGUCUUCUUGGGAACUUAACUAGUGUAUUUUUGUGCAUGAAAUAGGCAAUAUUAUAUCACUUAUUAAUUAAUAAUAAUAUAAUAGCAAUCAUAAAACAGAUUAUUUGUUAAAAUGGAAACUAAUAUGAGCCAACAAGCUUGAACUUUUAACCUUUCUACUGUUGUAUCAUGUGCUAUUGUUGGCAAUAAUGCUACUGCCUCCGUGGUUGUUCCUAAUGCGGAAGAACCUAAGAAAUCAACUGGAAAAAUUUCAAACAGUGGCAAUAGAAAAUGUUAUUUUAUUGGAUCACCUUGAAUCUUGUGAGAUUCUUGAAGGAAGAUAGUUCUAUACCCAAAGAGAGUGAAGUUAAUCCCCCAAGUGAUUAGUGCAAUAAUGCUUGGAAUCAUUCCGAUUUUCUUUGUGGAAAUUAUGUGUUGAAUGGCUUGAGUGAUUCUUUAGUAUGUGUAUGCUAGAAAGAAAAGAGCCAAGGUGCUGUGGGACUCCUUAGAAUAGAAAUAUAAAACUGAGGAUGCUGGCACUAAGAAAUUUGUCGGAUGCAGCUUCCUAGAUUAUAGGCUAGUGGACUCCAAAACUAUUAUGAGUCCAGUUCAAGACUUUUAAAAAAUUUGUGCCUAGGGGAUGGAUUCGAGUGAGAUUUUUACAAGUGGUUGCAAUCAUUGAGAAGCUACCUUUAGCAAGGAAAGAUUUUAAGAGUUAUCUGAAGCACAAAAGAAGGGAAAUGAGUCUUAAAGAUUUGAUUAUUAGACUUCAAGUUAAAGAAGGAAACAAAAAUAAUGACAAGAAAAAUGUCAUUUUUGUGACUAAGGCCAGUGUCAUGGAAUUUAGUCAGAAUAUCAAGAAUAAAAAGGCUAACAAGAUCAAGCUGGAUCCAAAAGGAGGGAUCUCUUGAAGCAAACCAAAUUUUAAGGGUAAUGCUUCAAUUGUGAUAAAAUAGGGCUUCAAAAUGUAGAUUGCUAAAGAAAAAGGAAAUCUGAGAAGCGAAUGAGACAAAGGACAUCUAAAAAGAUGUGUCAAACAUUAAUUUUUUCACAGGGGUUUCUGAAAUGAAUCUAGUGGGCUUCAACCCAAGAGAAUGGUGCAUUGAUGCUGGUACCUCUUGACAUGUAUGCUUAGAUAAAGAAAUGUAUAUUUCCUUUGAACCUAUCAGACAUGGUGAAAAGCUAUAUCUGAGAAAUUCAACCACUUCCAGGAUAGAAGGUCAAGGAAAAGUAAUUCUAAAGAUAACUUCUAGGAAAGAGCUGACUCGAACAAUGUUUUGUGCAUGCCAGAAAUUCGCAAGAAUCUUGCAUUUAGAUCGCUUUUGAACAAGCAUAGAUUCUGGAUAGUGUUCGAGUCAGAUAAAGUAGUUUUGUCUAAAAAUGAAAUAUAUGUAGGAAAGGCAUAUGUAUCUGACGAGUUGUUCAAACUGAAUGCAAUGGUUGUAAAACCAGUGAAUAAUAAAGCUAUUUCUUUUGUUUAUUCUUGAGUUUUCUAAUCUAUGACAUGGUAAAUUAGGACAUGUUAAUUAUAAUGCCUUGCGUAAGUUAAUUAAUAUGAAUCAUAUAGUCACUUUCAAAGUUGAUAUGAGACAUACGUAUGAAUCAUGUGUUGAAGCAAAACUAGGAAGGUCAUCAUUUCAAAAAAUUGAAAGGAAAACUAAAUCACUUGACUUAAUACAUAGUGAUAUAUAUGAUUUUAAAUUCAAACAGUUGAGCGGUGGUAAUAAAUAUUUUAUUACCUUUAUCGAUGAUUGCACAAAAUUUUGUUAUGUGUAUUUGAUAAAAAAACAAGGAUGAACUUAUAGAGAAAUUUGUGCUCUAUAAAAACGAAGUCGAGAACCACUAAAUAAGAAAAUUAAGGAGUUGAGAAUUGAUAGAGGUGGUGAGUAUGUUGUGCCAUUUAAGUCAUUUUAUGAAUAACAUGGAAUCACACAUUAAACUAUAGUAAAAAAGGCUUUAGUGACAAAAAUAAUCGUCACUAACAUAUAUAAUUUUCAUCACUAAAAGCUAUAGCGACAAAAAUUUUUGUUUCCACCUCGUUACAAUAGGAGUGUUGCAUUAGCUCUUUGGCAAUAAAUUUUCAAAUUUCAUUGCUAAAUGUCACUUUUUUAGCGAGGAAUAUAAUCAUUGCCGAAAGAAUAAAGUAUUCACUAAUUUACGUGUUGUGAUAUGAGUUUUAACAAUGAAUUAUUUUGUUGCUAAAAGUAUUUAUAGUAGUGAAUAAUUUUUCGUCACUAAAAGAGUUUCAUAUCUAAAACCAUCUUUAGCAAUAAAAUAUUUCUUUGCUAAAAGGAUUUUAGCAAUGAAUAGUAUUUCAUCCCUAAAAGGUCGCAAAAGGUUUUUUUCGGACAAAUAAUAUUUCGUCGCAAAAAGGUAUCUUUUUUCUACCAUUUAAUUAUUAUUACGAAUAUUUACAUAUUAUCAUUUUUAACAUUAAAUCACAAUGAUAAUUAAUACUAUUGUGAUAAAAUGAAAAUAAUUCAUUUAAAAAGAAUUAUUACUAUUGAUGGGAAAAACAAAAAUAAUUACAAAAUUUAACAUCUUUUGAAAGAAAAAGUUUACAAAUAAAUAUAAGUUUUUUCAUUUUCUUCAUCUUGAAGUAAUUAAUAUCAUUAUUUCCUACAAUUAAACAAAAACAGUAAUUAGUUUACUUCUAAACAUAAUAGUAAUACAAAUUGUAAUAAAUGAGAUGAGUAAAAAUAAAUAAAAUUACACCAUGUUAAAUAUAAAAGAGAAAGGAAGUAGAGAUUAUCAUGUUAAAAAUAAAAUAGGAAAGAAGUAGAGAUUGAAUUAGAGAAUGAGAAUUAUAUAUUAGAGAUGAGAGAAUUAAAGAACAAAAUUAAGAGAAUGAGAGAAUGAAAGAAUGAAAAAAAUAAAGUAAAUGAAAUAUAAAUAGAAAACUGAAGUUUUUACCAACGAUAUAUUUAAAAUUCAUCAAUAAAACUUAGUUUUGGCUGAAAAUAAUCUGCCAAUACUUUAAGUUUCCACAUUGUUUAUAUACAUUUAACAAUGAAAUUUAAAUUUCGUUGCUAAAAGUUGAAGUUUUAGCAAAAAAUUAACCACUUUAAAUCUUUAAACAAAUAUUUUUAGUGACAAAAUUAGGAAAAUUAACUGUUUUACAUUUGUUUUGUUGUGACAAAACUAUUUUGUCACUAAAACAUAUUUUUUGACACAAAACAUCUUUUCAAUGAUAUUAUUUCAUCACUGAAGUAACUAUUAGCAUUUGAAACAAAAGAAUAUUUGUCGCUAAAACUAUUGUUUUGUGAACAAAAGUUAUUUAAUUACAAAAGAUCAUUAUUAGCAUGUGUAAAUCCUUUUGUGACAAAUAAUGUGUUGUGCCACUAAAACCUUUUUUUUUUUUACAAAAUUAUUUCGUCGCAAAGAUAAUUAUUAACAUUUGAAAUGUUUUUAGUAGCGAAAAAUAUUUUGUGGGUAAAACUCAAUUUUGUGAAGAAAAAUGGUUUGUCACUAAAACUAUUUUUUUGGCUAUGAAAAUUAUUUUAUUACCAAAAACAACUAUUAGCAUGUGAAAUAUUUUUAGUGAUGAAAUUUUUUAUCGCUAAAACCUUUUUUUUACUAUAAAUAGAUUUAGCUAUGAAAAUAGUUGUCGCUAUAUAGUGUAUUGUCAUCACUAAAUAUAUACUUUUAGCGAUGAAAAUAUUUGUCGCAUAUAUCAAAUUGUAGUCCCUAAAGAGUUUGGUGUUAAUUUUCUUUUGGCCACUUAAUUUUUUUGCAACGAAAUGUUUUUUGUCACAAUAGGUCAUUUUUAGGGAUGAAUACUUCAUCGCUAAAAGUGAUAAUUAAAUGUUAUUUUUUCUAAUAUAUAUUUGGUGAUGAAUUUUUUUUCUCACUAAAAAAUACUUAUUGCAAUGAAAUUAUUUUUAUUGCUAAAAGUGUCAUCGCUAAAGACCAAUAUUCUUGUAGUUAUCAGCUCAAAUCUACUAGGAUUGCUGAAUGGAAAAAUUGUGCUUUGAAAGAAAUGAUGGAUGCAAAGUUGAUAAGUUCUGGAUGACCUCAGAAUAUGUGAAUGGAAUCUAUUUUAUCAGCUAAUUGCCUUUUAAAUAAGGUACCUCGAAAGGAAGCAGAGAAAAUCCCUUAUGAAUUAUGGAAAGGUAGAGUACCUUCUUAUAAAUACAUGUGAGUGUGAGAGGUGUCUUGCUAAGUGGUCAUUCUCUCUCCAAAGAAGCUAAAGAUUAGACCAAAAACUAGGGGUGGGAAAAAUCGGGUUUGCAUCAACCCAAUCAGGUUUCGAGUUAGUCGGGUUGGAUAAAAAUUCAUCUGAAAUCAAUCGGAAUCUAUAACCCAAUCUGAUCCGAUCCGUAUAUACACACACAAUCUAAACAUUUGGUUGUUCACUUAUAAUAUAUAAAGCACAUAUACCAUCUCUACCAAGUUACGGUAAUAGCCCAGAGCUUCCAAAAAUCAAUAGCCAAAUGGAGCUUGAAUCGAAGCUGGUGAUGGCGAAGGAUUGGAGGCGUGGAGGUGGCGCAAUAAAUCCGGUACUUGGUAGUAGUAGAUUGGUAGAUUGGGUCACGAUCCGUUCAGAGCAGCUUCAGUUGGUGUUGAAUCUCGGCGGUUGCUGCGUUUGAUGGCCAGAUCCAGCUUGCUUCGUGAACUUCGUGUGUAUGUUUGACUGUUUGUGAUCGUGACUGUGUUUUGUUUGUUUGGCUGUGGGUAAGGGUCGUGUAACUACCCCUUGUCACUGUCGAUAGUGGGAUGUGAGAGAGGGAGGUUGUGGCCUGUGGGUCGGUGUGUGCGCGCACGUUGAUGGUCGGCAGUGGGCUGUGGGUGGGUGUGGGCGUGAACUUUGUGUGUGUUUGACUGUUUUUGUGUCUGUGUAGAUCAUGAAUGUGGUGUGUAUUUAGAGUUUAUGUGUUUAUUGUUUAGCAAUUUAGUUUUGGUUUUUUAAUUUUUAAUUUUUAAUUUUUUAAUUUUUUUAUUUCAUGUCAACUCGAUUGGGUUGACACAAAUGCACCCGAUCAGGUUUUCUUCACGAUCCAAUCCAAUCCAAACCUAACUUUUUUCGAAUCGCGUCAGGUCGGGUAUUUUUUCCACCCUUACCAAAAACUAUAGAUUCCAUUUUCAUUAGUUAUGCACAUGACAGUAGUGCCUAUUGAUUUCUUUUGUAUGAGUGAAAUAUACUAGAUAUUCACAAGAAUUUGAUAAUAGAGUUAAGAAAUGCAUCAGUCUCUGAACAUGUGUUUCCAUAUAAAUUAAAAAAUGAUUCAACUUCAAUUAAAUGAACAGAUGAGGAUAUCAAUGAAGAUAAUGAGGAUCACGAGCAAGAAGUUUUUCAAGAUAGUGACCAAUAGGUUCAUUUUAAGCCUAGAGGUAGUAAAAGAGCAAAAAUAGAAAAUUCAUUUGGUUCAUAUUUUUUGACAUUUUUGUUAGAGAGUGAACCACAAAGUUUCAUGGAAGUUGUAAUAAUAUGUAAAGACAUAUGAUUGCUUCAUAUCGAACCCCAUCUCUCCAAAUAGCACUGAAACUUAAUUUGAAUUAAAUAUUAAUGAUCGUGAUUUUUCUAUGAUGCUCUAUGUGUUUUAACAACAUCAAUAGUGGGAUUAUUGUGGACCCUUAAAUUUAAUUAAACAAAAUUAAAAGAUAGCAAGUAACUUAUAGGUUGUUGGUAAAUAUUAAUUUUGUAAUUUUAAUUUAAUAUCAAGUAGCAUAUUUAAAUUGCUAUAUUAUUCUACAUAGCACCUUGGGAUGCUCACUUUGUUGAAGUGUUCAAGUCGUUCUAAAAGAGCUCCAUAUGUAUAUACUUGCUUUUGAUGUAAGAUACCAAAAGUAGAUUCAUUUCAAUUCUACUAAAUCCCAAAUAUUGGCAGAGAUCAAAAACUUAAAAGUUAAAAAGCUUAGUGAGUAAUGCGUAUAAUAUCGUUACAUCUAAUAUAAAAUUCAAUUGAACGGGAUGAAAAAAUGAAAGCAACAAGAUAUCAAUUCCAUCUAAUUAAUUCGAAAAUGACAUCUCCAAGCUGACAAUGUCCGAGAAAGUUUCUCAUCAACAAUGCACCAGAUGCUCCAAGGAAUGACAAAAUCAAGGUGAUUAUUAGGGCAUGAAACAAACUUGGGUGCUCAAUACAUAUUUUCAAACCUGAAACAAGAUCUCCAUCUAUAUUUUCACGUGGAAGAAACCAUGCAAGUGAAGCAAUGGAUAUGCAGAUAUCCCAAAAUAAAGAGCUGGAAAUUGUUUAGGGAUUUUUGGUCAGCUACAUAGGCUUCGGACUCUGUCUUUUUCAUCUCAAGCUUUAUUUUGGUUGUGCAGAAAGAAGAUAAUUAUGCAUAUGGUCAACUGAUGUUAGCUUUUAGAUUUGUGGGGUGGGGGGGGGGGGGGGGGGGGGGGGGGGGGGGGGGGGGGGCUGUCAAAAGUCUUCCAUGGCUGCCUCACGCGGAAAAUUUGAUCUUUGUUUAUUCAACUUGAUUAUGUUACUAGGUUGCCUGUCAAGAACAACUUAUUAAACCUUUUUCAUCUAAUCAUUCGGAAUAGAGAUAGUUUUCAAGAAUCCAAUUUCAAAUACAAGAACAUGAGAGAUAAAAUCAAGAGUGAAUUUAAUGAGAUAAAAGAAAGAGAUUGUAUUUUAUCAUAUCUCUAUUUUUUUUUCUCUUUUUGAAUUUAAAAUAACCUGUUUAGCUAAUGGUUAACCUAUUAUAAUAUUUUUUUUAAAAUUAAAAAUUUACAUUAAUAGAAUAUUAUAUACCAUUGAGUAAAUCGAAUAGUACAUAUUCCUUACACUAUUGAUGCUGUAAAAAAAUUAUAGUGUAAAGGACCCUAAUGAUCAAUUCUCUUAAAAAUAAAGAUAACUCACUUGAUUUAACCCUAUUAGUAGAAGCAACUGGCAAGAGGCUCAGAGAUAGAUUCUCUUCACACCAACCUUAGUCUUAGAGAGGGAAGUUCUUUGUUUAUUUGUAUUAAUUUGAACUAAUGAUUGUUGAUCCCAUUGGAUCUCUCAACAGCAAGCUAAUUAGGUAAAAUUGUUAGUGUUAACUCACAUGUGAAAGACUUUUGGAUUUUAGUAACUAACGCGAUGAGUGAGACUUGAAGAAAUGAGAAUUUGAUUUAUCAAUAAUGACAAACCAAUCCUUACAUAAUGAGACUUAGGCACUAUUUGGUAUUGAGGUGCUGCAACUUUUAAACUACAGCUGUUGUAAAAAAAAUUAUAACUAUUAAAUAAAAGUUAAUAGUAUGUAAUAAAUGUAAUUUUUAAACAAUAAUUUUGGCAAAAUUAGUGAAGAUAUAAUAAAUUUUUAUUAUACAAGUAUAAAAUCAAAUCAACUUAGCUUGCAAGUUACAACAACUAAUAUUCACCAACAUUUUAGUGCUAUAACUUAAAAGAUAUAACUGUCCAACCUCGAUUUCAAAUAAGGCCUUAUAAUAGUUUAUUAGGACUGAAUAAUAUAAGAAAAUAACGUUCGUAAAUUAGUAUUAUUUCUUGUUUAAAUGAAUUAAUUUAUGGAGCUCUCUUCUCUUGACUUGGGUUAGAGUCUUCCCAAUUUUCUAAGGAGUAUGAGUGCAUGUUUGUAAGGAGUAUUCAAAUUGUCCAUUUUUAAAAAUUGAAAUCUUUCAUUCAUGGUUGUGGGUUUAAGUCACGCAUGUGGAAGGUGCAAAAUGGGACUUAAUUCGGUAAUUCAGAAGGUGACUUGCCACACAUUGUUGAGCAUGGAAAAGUUACGUAAAGGCAUGGAAGAGGUGAGUAGAAUUGAAUAAAGAGCGAGGACAGUAAGGCGCGCCACUCCAACAAUACUUCAAUGUCAGAAUUAUAAAUUUUUUCUAAGAAAAUUAUCAAGAACUAACAUAAAAAAAAUAUCAACCAUAUAGCACUACUCAAUGCUAAUAAAACACUUUUAAAAUAAAAAUACAAGUUUUAUCAUUUUAAUAUAUCAUCACAACAACUUUCCUUCCCCAUUGUGUCCUUUCUUCUCUCAAAUCUUUUCUCUAACCAUUUCACCCAAAAGAGGGAAAAAAACAAAGUGGGGACGGUUCAAAUUAGUUUUUCACCCUCACUUCUCAACUUUGGCUUGAAUACCACCUAGUAGUAGCAGAGACAUAAAAUUCAUUGUGCUUUCCUUUCUUGUUAUUCUUCUUGUUCAUUCUCUCUCCAUUUUAUGGCAAUCAAAUUAAGGACUCGAAAUUAUAUAUACUCACACAAUUGCAAACAUAGGCUAACACAUCUGUGACAUGGAAAUCAAGCUCCUUUUCCUUAGUACUUUGGUUUUGCUAGUUUGUUGCAUUGCUCGAAACAAUUUUGACCACUUUCUGCUAGUCCAGACUUGGCCGCAUGGCUAUUGCGAGCGCAUACAACGGAAUUGCUCAAUAAGGAAUUACUUCGUCAUACAUGGCCUCUGGCCAGUGACUGCUAAGGGAAAAGCUUUUUUAAGUCGCAAACGCAAAAGAGUUAACGUCUCUGACACGGUAUGUAUUCUUCCUUUUCUUCGUCAGUAUUUGGUUAGUGAAACUAUGGAAAGAAAUUUUGAGAGAAAAAAUUUCCACUUUUCUAACUACAUUUAUUAUUAUAUUGCUGGUGUAGAUCGGAAGGGGUAAUCUUUUUAAAGAUAUGCGGUAUUACUGGCCAGGUCUCACUAAGACGGAUUUAAACCUUUGGGAAGAUCAGUGGUUCGCCCACGGUAGCGAUUCUCCAUUAGUCCCCCUUGAUUAUUUUCAGAGGACUAUCCAACUGAGGAAGCUUGUGGAUCUUGUCAAAGCACUGAGAGAUGUAGGCAUAGUGCCCAGGUAUAAGGGAUUUACUCAUCACAAAUCAACUUACAGACAAGGGAUAAUGAAAAUAACCGGUCAUAACAAUACCAUACUAAAGUGCUAUUCUUCUAAACGUGGUCAUCUAUUAUCGGAAGUGAUGUUAUGCGUCGAUGCUGACGCAAGAAAUUUCAUUGAUUGCAAUCCUGAAGAGUUCCAACAACAAAACUGUGGGCCCGAUAUUCUUUUCUCGAAAGUAAAAACGAUGUGAGUGCUCCUGGAGCAUCACGUCAUUUUGUCAACACGGUUCUCCAAUCCAGUGACAACUCUACACGAGUAUAAAAAAAUAAAACUUUAAAAUCCUUCAAGGAUGGUGAUAUUUUUACUCCACAAAUUUUGUAACCCACCAUAUUUCUAAAACUAAUUAUAUAUUAGGAUUCUCUUAUGAUCUGAUCUCCUCUUGAGCAAAAAUGCAUGUCGGUGAUUGGUAGUUAAUAAAUAAAGAAAAUAUAGAAAUUAAAUUAUAUCUAUACACUAUCACUUAAAAACACAUGGCAUAAUACCUUUAAGAGCUUAUGAGAGCUCAAAUCAGGAGCGAAUCUUUAUCCAAUAAUUAUAAAAAGUUCAUAUUUCAAAUAAAGGAGAAUUCCGAAGAAUUAAUAAUUAAAUCUAUCUUAUUUAUUUUUUUCGAUAUCUUAAUUUUUUUGUGACUUAAUUUUUUUUUUUUUUAUGAAGAUUGCUUUAGCCUAAAUUUAACUUAACUAUUUUACCCGGUCCUUGGAAAAUCGUUGGAGCGUGAAGAUGCAUAUCUUAGUGAAAACCCUAACCGAAAAGACCAUAACUCUUGAAGCUGAGAGCAACAACACCAUCGACAAUGUCAAAGCUAAGAUUCAAGACAAGGAAGGAAUUCCCCCGGAUCAUAAGCAUCUCAUCUUCAUUGAAAAGCAGCUCGAAGAUGGUCGUACUUUGGCUGAUUACAAUAUUCAGAAAGAAUCCACUCUUCAUUUGAUGCUGAGGCUUAGGGGAGGUAUCAUUGAGCCUCCAUUGAUGGCUUUGGCUCAAAAAUACAAUCACGAUAAGUUGAUUUGCCGCAAAUGUUAUGCACGUCUGCAUCGUAGGGCUGUAAAUUACCGGAAGAAGAAAUGUGGCCACAACAAUCAUUUGAGGCCUAAGAAGAAGAUCAAGUCGACUACUUGCCUUAGUCCUGAUGUGCGCCUUCGGAAAGACAUUCCAGUUAUUAGAUACAUUUGUUUGUUUUUUAAAAGGAUUUAGGAUUUGAAUUAAGCGAUCAUCUAAGUUGGAUUGUAGUCGAUUUAGUUCAAGUGCAAUUCCAUUAAACUUUUACCGUAUGAAAUUGGCAUAUAUUUUUUACCAAAAAAAUAACUAUUUUACCGUUGAAAUGUGAAAAUACCAAUAUUUGCUUUAACUUCAACAUUCUUUUUAUUUUAUACGUACAAAAUUCAUUUUUUCUAAAUGGUCAAUUCUACUUUAUUAGUAUGAUUAUUAACAUUUGAUUGAACUAACAUAAUGUGUUAACGAGAAAAUACUCAUGUAAAUUAUUAGGCUAUCACACUUACGUUAUUUAUAUGUAAAUAUUGAAAAUUAUUAUAAGUCACAAAAUUAAGUAUCUAAAGUAUUAUAUACAAGAACACACAUUUCUUCAGCAAUUGCGUCAUUUUAUGUCAUAAACAAAAUAAUUAAAUAGAAAUUACAUUAAAGCAAUUUUAUAAUUAAAAAAUCUAGGGAGAAAAUAUAACAAUGAUUUAAUUGAUUAAUUAUACAAAUAUUUUUGUUGAUUUGUAUUUAUAGAAGUAAUAUGAAUUUAUUGUGAAUAUUUUUUAGAAGUGGGGUGGUUUUAUGCAAAUAAUGGGGUGGAAAUAUCCCCACCCAUUCUUUAAUUGAAAAAAAAUGUUAUCCUAUAUUACAAUAUCCUCCUUUAUUUGUUGAACAAAUCAAGAUCUAUUUCAUUUUGUGAUGCCGUGAUUAAGGUUAUGGCAUCAAUACCGCAAUUAAAUAUAAAUUAUGUAAAUAAAACAUAAAAAUUUUAAAUCAACAUUAGUUGUAAAAUAAAAUAUAAAUUUUAGAAAUAGAACAUAAGAAUUUUAAAUGGAAGGUAAAGCAAGUAAUUUAAUAUUAAACUAGUAAAUUGUUGUAUUCAUGGUAAACAAAAUAAAAACUUAUAAAAAUAAUAUAAAAUUAGUAAAUCAAUAUUAAGUGAAAAAUAAAACAUAAACUUUGAAAAUGGAAUAUAAAACUUAUAAAUAGAAAGUAAAAUGAGUAAAUUAAUGUACUACUAGUAAGCAAAAUAAAAACUUGCAAAUACAACAUAAAACUACUAAGUCAACAUUAACUGUAAAAUAAAAUAAAAAUUUUAAAAGUAGAACAUAAGACUUGUAAAUGGAAGGUAAAACAAGUAAAUUACUACAAAAUUGAUAAAUUGAUGUAUUACAACUAAAUAAAAGAAAAUUUACAAACAUAGCAUAAUACUCGUAAAUGAACAUUAAGUGUAAGAUAAAACAUAAAUUUUGAAAAUAAAUCAUAAGACUUGUAAAUAGAAGAUAAAAUAAGUAAAUUAUUAUAAAACUAGUAAAUUGAUAUAUUACUAGUAAAUAAAACAGAAAUUCGCAAAUGUAACAUAAAACUAGUAAAUCAACAUUGGGUGCAAAAUAAAACAUAUCUUUUAGCAAUGGAACAUAAGACUUGUAAAUAGAAGGUAAAACAAGUAAAUUAAUAUAAAAUUAUAAAUUGAUCUAUUAUUGGUAAAUAAGACAAAAACUUGCUAAUAUAACAUAAAUUUGGAAAUCAGCAUUAACUGUAAAAUAAAACAUAAAAUUUGAAAAUGGAACAUAAGCCUUGUAAACGGAAAGUAAAAUAAGUAAAUUACUAUAAAACUAGUAAAUUUAUAUAUUACUAGUAAAUAAAAUGAAAACGUGCACAUAUAAUAUAUAUAAAACUAAUAAAUCAACAUUAAGUGCGAAAUAAAAGGUAAUUUUAUAGAUUAUGCCUAAAACUUUUGAGUAGAAUGUAAAAUAAGUAAAUUAAUAUAACAAAUACUAAAAAAAAUUACAAAUGUAAAAUAAAACUCAUUAUAAUGUUGGUUGCCUUAUAUAUUUAUUGAUUUUUUUAUUUAAAUUGAAUAAUGCUAGUUUUGCAUUUAUGUAAUACCUAUGAUGUUUUAUUAAGAAUGAAACUUAUUUUCAAAAUCAGAUUUUGGAAAACUAUUAUUUUAAUAUUUUUCAAAGUUAUUGUCAGAUGAGGUUAUUUUGCAUCUUUUUACACUUCCUCAACAACAACCCCAAAUGGUGUCUAAAUACAAUUAAGGAGUUUAAAACUACACAAAAUAUAAAUAAGACUCAAAAUUAGAUCUAGUUUUAUUGAUAUAUCAUAUUUGUGUCUUGUAAUAUAAAAAUUUCUUCGGAUUUUGUUUGGCUUGAUCCACAUCAAGAUAAAUAAUUGCAUUUAAUUAACUUGUGUAAUAAUUAAAUAUUAUUAUAGAAAAUGAGAAAAAAGUAUAUAAUGUCUAAAAUAAAUAUAGAAUUCAUGGUUAAACCAAUUGAAUAAAAUUAAUUCCACUCGUUUUCAAUACAAUUUUUUUUGUUUAAUUGAUAAAUUUUUUUUCUUUAUUUAAUUAAAGUAAAUGAAUAAGGUAUUUUACACUAAAAUUAUGUAGAAAUUAUGUUAAUUUUUAAAUAAUUAAUAAUUUUGUAUGAAUUUAUUUGUUUUAUCUUUCAAUUACCAGUCUUAUAUAUAAUAUAUUAAUUUUAUAUGUAAUUUAUAAAAUUCAUGUCUAUCACGGCAUUGAUGCCAUAAUUUUAAUUACAACAUUAUUGAAUUGUCCUUAAAGAAUAUGGUUAGAAAAUAUUAUUUUUGUCAACGUCUUGAUUUAUUGAAUAAAUCUUGUCUUUUAAAGUUCUUGUGGAAUGUUGUGAAAAAGUAUUCUCUGUUCAAGAUUACUCAAAGCUGGAUAUUCUUUAUGAUUGGCUUCAAAACUGUCCUUCCAAGUUCCAACCUUCCACAAUGGUGUUCACUGGAUAAUUGGUGAUGGUCUUCAGAUUAAUUUUUGGUUUGACCGGUGAUUAGACCAGCAAACUUUGUCCCAGUGGCUUUGUCUCGCACUGUUUCUGAAGUUAUUAAUCACGGCUCCUGGGUUAUUUUGUCAGCUUUUGAUGAUUUAUUUCCUCAGUUACAACUAUUAUUCCUCCAAAAAUUGAGGCAGGAGACACGUUGAUUUGACGUGAGAGUAGGGAUGGUAACAUAUCUUUACAGGAUUGCUACAACUGAUUUUGACCCCACCAUUCUACGACUCCUUGGUUCUCUCAUCUUUGGAAGAAUUUCAUCCCGCCUAAAUAUGCUUUGCUUUUGUAGUCGCUUAUCCAGAACAGGCUACCUACCGGUGGCAAUUUGAGAUUGAGAGGAAUUACGUUAGUUUCAUGUUGCAGCCUUUGUGACAGCCUUUCUUACCUUCAGGACGUUAAUCAUGUGUUUCUUAAUUGCUCAUUUGUAAAUUCUAUUUCCAUUGACUGGCCACUCAAUUUUUCCCGGAUUUGUCAAUUUCGGUAGAGAUAAGACAUUACACCCAAUUCUUAUUGUAUAUAUUAAAAAGGAUUGCUUAGCAUGUCUACAAUAUUUUUCAAAGUUUUGCCCGGAUUUGUCAAUUUCGGUAGAGAUAGGAAGGGAUCUUUUGCUCCAACUUGGAGUUCCUAGUUCACUUGUUAAAGCUGCCAAAUCUAUUAUUUGACUUGGACGCCACCUCUUCAUGGCUGGAUCAAAGCUAAUUCACAUGGCCUCUCUAAGGGCAAUCCGAGCUUAGUUGCUUGUGGUGCAGUUUUUAGAGAUUCUUCUGAAAGCCUAACUAAGCAAGCUAAGAGGGAAGUGGAUUGGGUUUUAAAAGUUACUAAACAACAAAAUUAAAAACCAAUAUCAAUUUGUACUAAAACAAGCUACUAAAAAUAAAUAUAACAAUGAAUGAAUUCAAAGCGAUAAGGGAAAGAAAAUCAAACACAAGAUUUUUACUUGGUUCAGCAAAAUCCACCUAUGUCCUUACCUCCAAGCUAACCGCGCUUGGGAGUUCCAUUAUCCAAGCCCUACAACCCAAGGCCUCAAGAUGCUUAUAAUUGACUUCCGAGAUGUUAAUAAACAUUUACAAUUUUGAAAUCUCAAAUCAUUUUUCCUAGGUGUGUCCCACACUUACAAUCACUCAAUUUUUUUAUAUUGAAAUGAAUAUUACAAAGAUUGCACUCUCAUAAAUGUAUGUUUAUAAAUGAUAGCUCAAAUAUGAAUCAAUGAAUGUGUGUAAGCAAAUAAAAGCUCAAGACUCUUUUAAACUCUGGUAUGGAUUCCAAAAAUUCUAAUUUCAAAUGAGUUUUCCUUGGCAGUUUAUAAAUUGAUCAAUAAAAUUAGUGGUUAUUGACUUUCUUGUCAUAAUCAGUUUAUUGCCUCAUAUGAAGUGGAUCACCACUUACGUAUGUGGCAACCUACCAUUGUGACUAAUUUUGAAAAUCUUGCGCAACUGGUUUGCUGCUUGGAAAUUAUCUGUUUAUUAUUUAAUUCCAGAGACUCCUCUGUUUAAAGUCAGUUUGUCGCUUAUAAGGAAAUGGUUGACUAUUAGCAUACCAGAAACUCAUCUCAACUCAAUCAAUUACUCCUCUUCAAGUUUGGCAGUACACCACUUGAUUCUAAGCAUUUCCCAAAUGUAUCGGUUAACUGCUUGAGUACCAGAAAGUAUAGAGUCUAAAAAAACUUUACAAAAUUUAAAAUGCGCUCAUUAUUCAACUUAAACACAAUAUUUGUUAAAAUCUUUCAAACCAUUUAAAGAACUCAUUUCUUGAGAUUAUAUAUCCUCAUGAAUGAACUUUUCUUGAAAAAUAUAAUGAAAUAAUUUGAGCUUUUAAGCGCUUAAUGCAUUCAUUUAAUUAUAUGAACUUUACAAGAGAUAAAAAAAACAAGAUAAUUCACCUAACCUUAAUAUUCUUGAAACUUGUCCUUGUCUAGAUGAGCUUGAGCUUGUACUCAACUGAAUAAUAUUUUGUGAAGACAUGUAUUUUGUUUUUGGGACUAAAAUGAAACAGAAGGAGAGUCUUUAGGCCAUUGCACAAAUUAACUUAUGUAUACAAUCAUUUUUGUAAAUUUCUACUAAUGUGUCUAUUAUUCAUUAAAGGUUGUUAGAUGGAUUCUAGAAAAUUUCCAAAAUUAUUAUGCUUUUGCAUAGCCCCUAAUAUGUGAACCUUUUCUCUCUUGUUUCUUAACCAAAUUUUGUGUUUUCUAUUUUAUGUAAAGCUUGUAAUCUCCUUUGUCAUGUGUGAUUUGUCUAUAAUCAAUUUGGUUGAUAAAAGCCUACUAAAUUUUUCUUUCAAAUAAUGAAGAUCAUUCUUUGUUAUUGAGCUCUGAUUAUUUGUUCUUACUCUGUCUCUCUUUAAUUCUGAUAUAAGUUUAAUCUUAACUGAUUAAAGCUCGAAAGAUUAACUGAGUUCUUGAUUGAUUAAUCAUUAAUUACAACAAGUAGUAUUAGAACUUGGUGGCUCUCGAUUAUGUCUCUUCUAAACUUAAAAUAGAGAAACUCACCAUUAGUGGUGAUUUCUCUAUUUGGAAGAUGAAGAUUAGGGCUCUAUUAUGCAUCAGGGCCUUGGAUUUGCCCUGGAAGAGAAAGAUCAUAAUGGAGCAGGAAGCUUCAGACCUGAUAAAAAAAAGAAACAAAUCCUGGAUAGAGCUCAAAGUACCGUGAUUUUAAGUCUUAACGACUCAAUCUUGAGGGAAAUCUUUAAAGAAAAGAUAAUCGUACGGAUAUGGAAUAAAGAGGAGGCCGUUUAUAUGAAAAAAUCCUUGGCUUAUAGGUUUUUCUUAAAGAAAAGGUUGUAUACUUUUUUAAUGAAGGAAGGGAUGCCUAUUCAAGUACACAUUGACACCUUCAACAAGAUCAUUCUUGAACUUAUAAGGGUUGAAAAUGUGAAGAUUAGAGAUGAAGUCAAAGCAUUUUUCUUGCAAAGUUCAUUGUCACAAUCAUUUUUCUUGCAAAGUUCAUUUGUGGAUACAAUGUUAUAUGGCAGAACAAUUCUGAUUUUGGAAGAUGUCAAGGCUUCAUUGAGCUCAAAGGAGAUUAUAACGAAUAAUGGCAUGAAGUAAGUAAUAGUAAAGCAUUGAUUGCCAGAAUUAGAAAGAAGAAGGAACAGAAGAACAUGAAUCAAGAAAAGAGCCAGGAGAAUACAGAAAAGGAAAAAAGAAAAGAAAGGCCUUUUAUUGUAGAAAAUAAGGGCAUUACAUCAGAGAAAAUGCAGAGAAAAAGAAAAAGCAAAGUCAAGAAAGGUUAGCAAAUGUACUUGUAGCUUUGAAUACUCCUUUGAUGAUGGCUAUCAUAAUGCUGAUCUGUUAAUAGCCUCAAAAGGCAACUCAAAAGAUUAGUGGGUAUUAGACUUAGGUUGUUCUUUCAACAUAUGCCCUAAUAGGUCACUCUUUCAUGAAUAUAAGUCUAUUGAUGGAGGUAGGGUUCUUAUAGGAAAUAACAGUAGGUGUAAAAUUGUUGGAAUAGCGUCUGUCAAGGUUAAAAUGCUUGAUGGGAUCAUUAAGACCUCACACAUGGUUAGACAUGCUCUUAUAUUAAAGAGAAAUCCAAUCUCUUUAGGCAUGUUGAAUAGCUCUGGAUAUUUAUUUAAAUCAAGUAGUGGUGGCAUAAGAGUGACCAAGGGGGUUAUGUUGAGAGAAAAGGUGAAAAGAAGAAUGAGUUAUAUGUGUUGAUUGGUUCUUGUAUUCCUAUAAGUGUUGUAAUGUCAGCAGAAUUUGAUGUAGAUAAAACAAAGCUAUUGCACAAUAGACUUGGCCAUACGAGUAUAAAAGGGUUGUAAGAACUUGACAGCCAUUGAUUGUUAUGUGGAGACAAGCUUGGCCUAUGAGAAUUGUGUCUUUGGUAAGGCACAUAGAGCUAAGUUUCCAAAAGGAGAGCAUAGAUCUAGGUGUUUCUUAGAAUAUGUUCAUUCUAAGCUUUGGGGGUCAGCUUAUGUGCUACCCUUAUCAGAGGGUAGAUACUUUAUGACCUUGAUUGAUGAUAUGCAAGGAAAGUGUGGCUUUAUGUUCUGAAAUCAAAGGAUCAAGCUUUAGAGAAGUUUUAAGGCUUGGAAAACAUUGGUGGAAAAUCAAAGUAAAAAAUGGCCAAGAAUUUUGCAAUAAGAAGUAUAAAGACUUUUACUAAAAGCAAGGAAUAUUAUAACAUAAAAUAGUCAAAUUUACCCCCCAAUAGAAUUGGUUGAAAGGAUGAAUAAGACACUUGUUGAUAAAACCAGAUGCAUGUUGAUCAACUCCAAGCUUCUAAGGAGUUUUUGGGCAGAAGCUGUACGUAUACCUUGUUAUUUAGUCAACAGAUGUCCUUCAUCAACCACUGGUUGUAAAACAUUAGAGGAAAAGUGGUCAGGAAGGCCUGGAAAAUAUGAUAAUUUUAAAAUCUUUGGAUGUCUUGCUUAUGCACACAUAAAUCGAGGCAAAAUUAAACCUAGAACUUUGAAAAGAGUUUUUGUUGGCUAUCCUGAUGGAAUUAAGGAUAUAAAAUCUGGUAUGGACAGCCUAGGAAAUGCAUUAUCAAUAGAGGUGUUGUUUUCAAUGAAGAAGCUAUGAUGAUGGCUGAGAAGGAAGUAAUUGAAAUUUAUUUGCACAUUGAAGAUGGUGUGAGUAAGCCAGAUGAAACCAAAGCUUAAAGAGGAGUUUCUUGAAGUUAAAGAUGAAAUGAUAGAAGCAUGUGAUGCUAAAGCUAGAGUAUAUGAUUAAAUAGACAAAUUGAAGCUGCUGAAGUACAAAAUACACAACAAUCUGAAUUGCAUGGUUAUCAAUUAGCCAGAGACAAAGCCAGAAGAUAAACCAAAGCACCAGCCAAGUUUGGUUAUACUAAUCUAAUUACUUAUGCUGAUGAUAUGGUAAUUAAAGAGCCUGGUAGCUAUUCUGAAGCUAUUGAAAGUGAAAAUUGUGACAAAUGUGAUUGAAGCAAUAUAUGAGGAAAUAGACUCUUUACACAAAAAUCAAACCUGGACUCUUAUUCCAAAUCUGAGUGAUAUGAAGUUGGUUAGUUGUAAGUAGAUCUUUAAGAAGAAUGAUGGUAUCCUUGGAGUUGAACCUUCAAAGUAUAAAGUAAGGCUUGUUGCAAGAGGGUUUACACAAAGAGAGGGUGCAGAUUUCAAUAAAAUCUUCUCCCCUAUUGUUAAAGAUAGUUAAAUUAGAAUUCUCUUAGCUAUGAUUGCAUUGCUUGAUAUGGAGCUUAAGCACAUGGAUGUCAAAAUUGCUUUCCUUAAUGGAAAAAUUAAAGAACAAAUAAUGAUGACUUAGCCUAAAAGUUUUACAGAGACAAGAAAAAAAGAUUAUGUAUGCUUGCUGAAUAAGUCAUUGUAUGGUUUGAAACAAUUCAAAGGCAAUGGUAUAGAAGAUUUAAUGCCUUUAUGAUUUCAAAUGGUUAUCACAAAAGCUAAUAUGACAGUUGUGUCUAUUAUAGAGUUAGUUCAAAUCAAGGUGGAGUUAUGUGCUUGCCUUUAUAUAUAGAUGAUAUGCUUAUUACAGGCAAACAUAAACUUCAGAUUAACAAACUUGAGCAACUGUUGAAUGAUGAGUUUGAAAUAAAAGACUUUGGCUGUGCUAAAAAAGAUUCUUGGGAUAGAGAUCAUAAGGAAUAGAGCUAUUGGUGUUCCGUUUUUAAGUUAGAAGAAGUAUGUCAAAAGGUUCUCGAAAGUUUUUGAUAUACAAAAUAGCAAACCUAUUCUAACCCUUCUUGGGACACAGUUCAAGUUGUUUGUGUCAUCGACUUCUGAAACUGUCAAUGAGAAGUUCAAGAUAGAAGAAAUACCAUAUGCACAGACUGUUGGGAGCCUUAUGUAUUCAAUAGUUUGCAUGAGGCCUAAUAUAGCCUAUGCAUUAAGUAUUGUCAGCAGGUUUUUAAGUUGUCGUAGUAAGAUCCACUAGAGUGCUAUCAAGUGGAUAUUGAGAUAUCUUUGGGGUACUUCAGACUAUGGCCGAUUGUAAGAGAAGUCCAAGUAAGUUGUGAGUGAAGUAAUAGGGUUUGUGGACUCUGACUUUACUGGAGACCUAGACAAGAGAAAGUCAACUACAAGCUAUCUAUUCAUGUUGAGCAAUUGUAUAAUCAGUUUGAAAGCCUCUGUGCAGGCUAUGGUAGCUUUGUCUUUAAUUGAGGCUGAAUUUCUAGUAGCCACAGAAAUAACCAAGGAAUCUAUGUGGCUAAAAGGCGUUCUCAAUGAGCUUUGGUCAAAGUAUAAAUCAAUAUUUUAUGUGAUAAUCAAAAUGCUAUACUGCUGGUUAAGAACCAAAUAUAUCAUGAGAGGACCAAGCAUAUUGAUGUGAAAUUAUAGUUCAUAAGAGAUGAAGUUACAAAAGGUACUAUGGUGAUUUCAAAGAUGCAUACAGAUGUAAAUCUUGCUGAUAUGCUUACUAAAGUACUUUCUACAACGAAGUUUGAAUUAUUUGGUGGGUACUGAGUUCAUGUAUAGACUAUAGUGAGUUUGAAGGUUUUUUUUUAUUCGAGGUAACUUUUGUGGUCAAGAGGCGAACUGAAUCAUAUCUGCAAGGUGGAGAGUGUGAAGACAUGUAUUCUAUAUUUAGGGACUAAAGUUGAAUUGAAGGCGAGUUUUUGGGCCAUCGUGUAGAUCGACUUAAGUUUAGGGGACUCUAUGUAAAUUUUUGCUAGCAUGGCUAUGGUUCAUUAAAGGUUGUUAGAUGGAUUCUGGACAAUUUCUAGAAUAAAUAGGCUUAUGCAUAGCCCCUGAUGUGUGAACCCUUUCUCUCUUGUUUUUUAACCAAAUUCUUUGCUUUCUAUUUCAUUGUAAAACUGGCAACCUCCUUUGUGAUGUGUGAUUCAUCUGUAAUCGAUUUGUUUAAUAAAAUUUUGCUAAGUUUUUCCUUUAAAUAGUGAAGAUUUUUCUUUAUUGUUGAGCUCUAAUUUUUUGUUCUUGCUCAACCUCUCUUUAAUUAUGACUUCAGUUUAAUCUUGAUUGAUUAAAGCUCAAAAGAUUGGUUGAGUUCUUGAUUGAUUAAUUAUUAAUUACAACAUAUUUGUCCUUCAAGAGCUAGUGAGAUUGUGAAAUAUAUGCAUUAUCUAUUUUACCCAUGACACGUGGUUUGUUAUCUUCAAAAUUCAAAGAUCGUAUAACCAUAUAGGUAAAUGUCUUCAUAGGGAUUCCUUGGUAGUUUUGGUGUUCAAUUAGGACAUAAAACAACUUACUUUCCUGAAGUAGUGGCUUUUAUUCUAAGUUUUUAAAAUGAUUUUGAUAGAGGUUGGUUCAAUAUUUGGUUAAAUUCUAAUUCCAUCCUGGCAAUCCAACUCUUUCUCAAGCCUUCCUUUCAUCCUCCAUAGUCCUUUCACAAUAUGUGGUUAAACUGUCAUCUACUGUACUAAUCUCCCAAAUGAACAUUCGUGUUGCUCAUACUUUCAAUAAAAAUAAUGUUAUAGCUGAUGUGCUUGGAAACCUGAGUCUUUAAUGUACUUACUUCAUUUGGUGAUAUUCCUCUUCUUCAAGAGUGUAUGUCAUAUUGUCCUUAUAUUGUUUUAGCUAGGAUUUUAUUUUCCCUAGCUUUAUACAUUUAAUGAGGGAUAAAGCUUAUUAGGUCCCCGUAAUUAGCUAUAGUAUAUUUUUAUAUUUAAAAUAAAGUUUCCCUCAUCAGGUUGAGGUUAACAAAUUAAAAGAUAAAAAUAAAUCCCAGAAUAUGGUUAAUAUAUAGUUGUCGUAGGGUUAAGAAAAUAGAAAAUAUCUUAUUAUGCAUGACUUCUUUUACAAGUUUUUUUAGGGGUGGCCACAAACUGGUUUGGUCUGAUUUUGCCCCUAAACCAAACCAAAUCGAAACCAACUGGUUCAUAAAUUUAUGAAUCGAAUAUUACAGAAAAUAAUUAUUAAAAUUUUUAAAUAAAAGUGAAUUAUAGAACCGAAUGAGAUUUUGGUUUGGUUCUAUAAUUUGCUCCGAUUUAAUAUUAUUUUGUUUAAGAAUUUUCAUAUUUUUUCUUUUUCUUUAAGUAAUAAUAUAGCUACAAAAUUUUGAACAAAUGUUUUUGUACAAACUGACAUGACACAAUUAAAUUAGUUGGAUUAAAUAUCUCUUGGUCCACAUGAUUUUUUUUUAUUAGUUUGUAUUUUCAUUUGACCAAUGAGUUAAUACCAAAUUAAUUUGUACAAAAUAAGUUUAUACAAGAGUUUCUGUUUAUAUCGUUAAUCUUUUCCUUUAAAUUAGCUAAAAUUUUGGACUUUUCACCCAAAUUUGAACUUUUUUCUUAAUUAAGUUCAACUGUAACAACUACAAUUUAUGAUUCAUACCAAAAUAUUAAUGUAAAAUAAUUUUAUAAUAAAUAAGUAUUGUUGUUUAGAGAUAAAUGAUACUUUUUAUUUUAAACAAUGACCUUAUCAGUUCUCCAGUUUGGUUCUGUUUUGAACUAAACUAAUUGAUAACCAAUCAAUUCUUGAAUUUCCGAAUCAUUCGGGUUUUUACCUUAGAAUCGAACUAAACUGAAUCGAGUAAUUUUAGUUCAAUUUCAUAAAAACCAGUUCGAAUGCCCAUCCCUAGUUUUAUUAGAUUUUGUAUACCCAAAUAUAGAUAUAAAUAAAUAAUUAAAUUCGUGAACAAGAAAUUUGCAUGCGAUGCAAAUUGGAGAGAUGAAUAUUUAGGUUUCCCAACCAGAUCAUUUGAUUAGUAGAAAAGUAUUUUAAUUACGAGAUAAUGUUGAGAAGAUUUUGAUGGCCUACAAAUUUGAGAAAUGAAUUGGGCAUCUCAAAAUAAGAUAGAUGAGGUAAAUUAUUGUUUAAUCCUAAGCUAGGUUACACCCCUAGCCAUUUCCUCAAAGGAUGUGUGACUCUAUAUUUGGAGUGUUUUAGGCUGAGCGUAUGUUAUGUAACCCCUUCAACCCUAUUUUGUUAAAGUGUUGGGUACAACCCUAUUUUGUUAAAAGUGUUAGGCGGUAUGCAUUUGGCUCCUAGCCAGCUUAAUCCAAAUGAAUGGAGGAGAUGUUAACUGAGUGAACCCAUUGUCGAUGAGGUAAAGAAUUUAUAUUAACUGAGGAAUAGUCCAUCGGACGCAGGCCGGUAUUACUUCAUGUCAAGGUGCAAUAAGAAAUAGCCUAUUACAAAUAUUCCAACCUCAUGUGGCAGUUGGAAAAGUAAAUUUUUCUUUUUGGGGGAACCUAGGUAAGGUGGCUCCUGCACGUGGUGAAAAUGUCCACAUUCCUUCUCAUUUUUGCACCCCAGGUUGCCUACUACUUUAAGCAUCUUAGAUUUAUGAUUACUGACUUACUUCAUUCCCAUAAUUUUCUUUGACUUUUCAGAUUCCUGAAGCCUAGUUUACAAUAUCGAAGAGAGGCUAUUACUAUGUGUUUAGACUGUCUUAGUCAACGCUUGCUCAUGUAAAGGUCUCUUAAUGACCACCAGUCUCGUCGAAUCCCAAUUGGUAGAAGAGCCAGCUGAUAUGGACAAAAGAAUUCUUUGUGUUAUAUCCAAUAAGCAUGCUCACACUAAAGGGAUUCGAGCAGUGCUCCUACUCCUCCCAAGAAAUCUCAUGUUACUCAAAUCAGCCCUCCUCUACCAGCUCACCUGCCUUCUCUCUAGGUGGAUGGCAGAAGCACAAGUGAAAGAACAAGUCAAAAGAGUCCUAAAAAUCCUCCUCGAGUGACUGAUCUACCCAACCCCUAGAGUAUUAGGAGCGAACAAAUUUUUUGGCCCCUUCUCAGAAAGAGUAUGUAAAGCUACUGCAACUCAAUUAUGUUGAGGGCCUUAAGGACCAAACCUUAUAUAAGCUAGUGAACAUUCUUCAAGAUGGCACAUUCUUACUUUCAACCACAACCACUUAUUAUAAAGUUAGGGCCACUCGGUAUGAUAGAAAGAACUAGGCAGAAAUCCAAACCUUAAAAACAAGAUUGAAAAGGUGGAGCUUGUAGAGGAGAGAUCAGUUAAGCUUUUUCAAGAGGUUAUGGGCCACGAACAGAAAUUUUCUAUCUCCAAGGCUAUCCAGCUCGAAAGAACUAUCUAAGAUGAAAAGAGAACUUAUUUCUUCUAGAAACGAGCUUGACAACAAGAAAUCUACUUACGAGAAGCAGCUAAAGUCCUCAAAGUCACAGAUUUCCAAACUCAAGGACACGUUCAAUAACUUGGAAAAGCGAGCUGAUAAGGAGUACAACUUUGGGCUAGCCUUCAGCUACAACUGCAUCAUGUCUGUCCUAAAAAAGGAACAUGCAAAGUUAUACAUGAGCAAAUUGGAAUAUAGUGUGAACAAGUACAUAGAAGAGUAGGAUAAAAAAACUGGAGGCCAAGAUGAACCUCUUAAACGCACUAAAGUGACCACUUCUCUGCUGUUGUUGAUGACCACUCUUCUAUCGAGCAAGUAAAUCCUCUUUCCUAGGAUCCAUAUGUAAUAUUUUUGUAUAAGACUAUGAACUUUUCACUAGUCCAUGUAUUUUCAGCAUUAAUAAAGCUUGUUCUUUAGUUACUUUAUGUUCCACGAUUGUUGAUUUAUCGACACUAUGAGCAAGUUUGCAUGAAUUUUGGCAUAGUUGUAUCUGGAGGAGACCCGAAGACUUUAAACUUUAUAUUGGUCUUCGAAUUCAAGCGCAACCUCUUGCUUGCUUGCCUGCCUUUGCUUAGCUAAAUAGGAUCAACCAAAUUUUGACCCUAAUUUCACCUUGAGCAAGUUUUGAGACUUACACUCUUUGCCUUAAAAUAUUUCACUGAAAUGAUUGCCUGCUUGGCUUUAUCUAGUCGAGCAGGUUCUGGCAAACUUUGACUUUCUCGUAGCCUCGAGUAAGGCUUUAAGACUUGAAGCUUUUUUUUUUUUUAUUAAAAGGGGCUCUUUAAGACGAGCUAGACAGGAACAAGGCGGGGUUGACAAACCCCAAACAUAUCUUGCGAAAUAAUAGAAUAAAUACCCACAGGUGGGUUAGAGAAUUAAUGUAAAUCAUGCGGUACUAAGUGAGCCAUAUUUGCCAUGAAAUCUGCAGCUGAGUUUGCUUCACGGUAGAUAUGCGAGAUAGAAAUCUGCCAAUUCCUGCUUAAGAAAUCACGAAUUACCACCACUAAAGCAUAGAAAACAUUAGGCACGACCACCUGCUGAGAAAUCAUCUGAGUUACACAGAGGCUGUCUACUUCCACCAAAAGAUGUCUGAUGCCGACAUUCCAGGCAAGGGAUAAUUCUUGAUACAGUCCCCAGAGUUCGGCCAUAAUCACUGAGCUUUCCCCAAUAUUCAUACUAAAACCUGAGAUCCAGUUACCAAAAGAAUCGCGAAUUAUCCCACCCGCUCCAGCUUCUCCUGUAUUUCUAUAGGAACCAUCUGUGUUCAACUUACACCAUGGCCAUGGAGGAGGCAACCAACUAAUAAAAAUCUCCUUACGCCUUGGUUGUUGGCUAAGAUGAGAGUUAUUAAUUCUAUGGAUCUCACUAGCUCUGGCCAUAAUAUCCAAGUAUAUUGUCUUGCUAUCUACCAAAUUUCCAGCCAUAAUAAAAUGAUUCUGCCAAAACCAUAACCUCCAAAUAGCCACUCCAAAAAUACAAUCACAAGGAAGCUCAGAAUCAAUUUUCCACUUGUUUUGCAUGUUGGCAGCAAUCCAUGCACGUAAGUUAGAUUGGAAAAAAGAGAGAUGGUGACGGGCUGGAACAAGAUGAAGCCAUAGAUUCUUAAUGCAUCGACAAUCUCUCACAGCAUGAAGAAUAUCCUCAGCUGAAAUCCCGCACCUAACACAAACAUCCGAAACAGGAAUAUUACGCUGACUGAGCUCACGGUAGGUCUUCAAUUUGCCAUGCAAAAUCUGCCAAAUAAAGAGCUUUAUAGAUUGGGGUCCUUUCCAAGACCAUGGCAAAUUCCAUACUUUAUCUUGAGCAUCCAAGUUAUGAUGGCAAAGAGAUUCAUAAGAGGAUUGAACAGUGAACAACCCUCUUGGAUUAAAACACCAAUAAAGUCUGUCAGGUCCAAAAUGCGGAGCAGGAGGCAUGAUCGAAGCAAUCUGCAGAAGAAUAAAAGGGGGCAGCAAGAGCUCAAAGUUCAACCAUCUCCAGCCACUAUGUUCAUUAAUAAAAUCGCUAACAGUUGCAUUGAGAGAGACUUGAGGGAUCGGUUGGAGAGCAAAGCCAAUCAAAGGUUCAUAUUUCGUCACCCAACAGUCUAGCCAGAAACGAAUGCGAGCACCAUUGCAUACUGCCCAGCGAGCUCCAUGCAUGGCUGCAUCCCACGUUUUCCUUAUAGCAGACCAAACUCGUGAUCCUUGCUUGUCAGGGAGGGAAGACAGCAAAUUGCAUGGGUCCAGUCCAUACUUGGAACAAAGAACCCUCACCCACAACGUAUCCGAGUUGGAAAUAAUGCCCCAACUAAUCUUCAUUAACAGGGCAUGAUUCAUCACCCCCAAAUUUUUAAAACCCAAGCCACCACGUGAGUUUGGCAAGCAGAUUUUGUCCCAGCCUACCAUGCACAUCUUAUGACUCUUCGACUUCCCAUCCCAAAUAAAUUUACGGCAGUACUUAUCGAUUCUAUGGCGCACCGAAGAAGGAAACAUGGUCGUUUGCAUUGCAUAAAUCGGCAUGGCUUGAAUCACCAAUUGCGCCAAAGUAAUACGACCAGCAAAGGAUAAGUGAGCAGCAUUCCAGCCACUGAGCCUCAUGUCUACCUUGUCCAAAAUAGAUUGGUACGUGGCUUUAUUCACCCUCGAAUGAAGUAACGGCAUUCCAAGGUAGUUUCCCAGGUCAUGAGUAAUCGAAACCCUCAAGGCAGCACCAAUGAGCUUUCCCUCUCUUGAAGCAACAUUCUUCGAAAAGAAAAUUGUAGUUUUCACUUUAUUAACCUUUGCUUCAGAACUUCGACAGUAAUUUUCUAAGACUGCAUCAAUAAUAUGAGCUUGAUAUAUUGAAGCUUCUGCAAAUAAGAGCAAAUCAUUAGCAAAAAAAAGGUGGGUAAGGGGAGUGCCAUGUUUAACCAACCGAAUUGGCUUCCAGCUUCCAUCCACCACAGCUUGGGUUAUUCCAUGGCUCAAACUCUCGAUACAGAGCACAAAGAUAUACAGAGAUAGAGGGUCACCCUGCCGAAUUCCUCUUCCCGGAUAAAACUCCUCAGUUACCUCACCAUUCCAUAGGAUGUUCAUGCUGGCUGAGGUAACACAUUCCAUGAUGAGCCGAGAUAAGUGAAUCGGGAGCCCCGUCUGUUGAAGUGUUUCAAAAAUAAAAGACCAGUUCAGCCGGUCAUAUGCCUUCUGGAGAUCCACUUUAAUAGCCAUGAGCCCUCUUUUACCAGUUUUCUUGGGCAUGGAAUGAACCACUUCCUGAGCAAUAACAAUGUUAUCCACAAUGUACCGUCUGGGAACAAAACUUGUCUGUUGAGGCCCGAUCAGCUCAGGUAAUAAAGCUUGUAGACGAUUAGCAAUAAUUUUAGUCACUGUCUUAUAGGCAACAGUGCAUAAGCUUAUAGGCCGAAACAUCUUUAAACUGGUAGGAUAAUCCACCUUCGGAAUCAAAACCAACAGAGUUUUGUUUACGUUUUGAGGGAUUUGACCAGUAUUAAAAAUGUCAAUGAUAAAACUACAGAAAGAGGGUCCAAUAGUGUGCCACUGGGAUUGAUAAAAGAUAGCCUACAGUCCAUCAAUACCCGGUGCUUUAAGGGGUUUCAUGCUAAAAAUAGCUCUUUUAAUUUCUUCCUCCACAACCGGAUCAUUAACACAAUCAAGAUAAUUAGCAUUCACGGCUGGAAAAAAAUUCGGAACAGAGUAUGUUUGAUAAGAAUGAGCUUCACUUUUGAAUAAAGAGGAGAAAUACUCAACUGCAUGGCUACGAAUAUCUUUCUCAUUGUAGAUCUAGUCCCCCAUACUAUCCUUAAUGGCCUCAAUUCGAUUUCUUCUGCGACGAGCAAUAGUUUUUUGGUGAAAGAAGAUAGUAUUUCUAUCCCUGUGUAGGAUCCAGUCUUUCCUAGAUUUCUGCCACCAAAAAAUCUCCUCCUGAGCCAUCACCAUCUCCAAUUCACUUCCUAAGUGAGCCUCUAACCGAAUCAACCAUCAGCCAAUCAUUAUUACACACAACUCUGUCAAGUCGUUUAAACAGGGUGCCACGAGACCAAGUGUUAGAGUGCAAUUUAUGCACUAGUUUUGCAUUAUUUACUUCCCUUAAUAACGAUGUUUUGCACUUAAUAAUAGGGAUUUACUUGUGAUUUACUUUUAUAGGUGCAAUUCUAUUGAUUGGUGAUAAAAUUGAGCUACAAGAUGAUGUUUAAGGAUGAUUGUUCUCUUGGAGAAAUUAUGAGCGGCAGAAGAACUUUGUUGAUAAGGCGUGGGAGUGUGCUGUCAACUACAGACCUACAGUUUUUAGUUUAACGUGUUUUGUAUUUUUUGUUAUUUUUGUAAUUACGAAUUUAAUAUUUCAGAUAUUAGUAUUUUAUUUUAAAUAGAACUCUAAAAGAGAAGAAAGAAAGAGUAUUUAAGGGAGGAAUCUAUUGUGAAAAAGGGGGGAUUGGAGAAAAAGAAAAAAACCCUAGAUCUAAACUUUUCUCUUUUCUCUAUAAAGAACUAAACCUAUUUUUCUGGUUGAAGGUUAAUGAAGCUUUGAUUCAUCACUACUGUGAGAUCUUUCUUAUGCUUUAAUUGUUUUAUUACUUUUUGAGUAUUUGUUUAUUCUCUGAAUUAGUUUCAUGAUUAUGUUUGUUAAUUAGGUAAUUGGCCACUAUUUAAUUAUCAACUUAAUCUAUUGUCAAUUAAAGGAUUCAUCGUAUGAAGAUUUUAAUGUUUGUGACAAAUAACAUAGCUGAGAGUUGUGUUGUGAGAAUAAACAAUCUAAUUUAAAUGAAUCAUCAUAUAUGUUGAUUAGGAUUUGGGUCUCUCUGGUUUUUCAGGCUGUCAAUUGAUUAAAUCCUAUGAUCGUAUCUAGGGUUGUCUAUUUGAUUAGGGAAAUAACCAACGGUCGUACCUUGGUUAUCGACUAGUUAAGGAGAGAUUGGCUAUUAGAGGGUCUCAAUAGCUAUAACCGGUCUAUUCAAAAGUAAUAAUAAUCUAUAUUUGAAUCAAUGAUCAGUAGUCGAAUCAAGCUGAGUUAAUUCCUUCAACCAGAGCUUUCUCCAAUUUGAAUUACAACUUUAAUUUGCAUUCUUGUUAUUUUAAUUUGAUUUUUAUUAUUGUCAACAAUUCCUCCAUUUUACGUUUUACGUUCCAAAAGGAUUUAAAUAAUUACCGAUCUCUGUGGACACGACCCUGCUCAAUCACUAUACAUAAUUUAUUUAGAGUAGGAGUUUAUUUUUGUUGGCUUCGACAACCAUCACCAAGUAAAACGAGGGCCUUUAAACUUUAAGUCAAAAAUUUGGUGGCCAUCAAACCACUGCCGAAAUAAACCACACACUCCAGAGUGUCUGGUAACACCCCCCUGCUUCUCAGAAGCAAACAAAAUAGAAUUGAAAUCCCCUCCAAUCAACCAAGGACCUUGAACUGAAUCGGCAAGAUUCUCCAUACGACUCCAGAAAUGUCUCCGCAACAUUGGAUUUGGGCUAGCAUAGACAGCCGUUACCCAAGAGGCAAAAAUAUUAUUUCUACAAACUUUAAAAUGUAUAAAUUGCCUAUGAUUAAUUACCACCUCCACCUUAACACAAUUCCGCCACAGGAUCCAGAUUCCUCCAGAAAAGUCAACUGCUUCCACUCGAUGAGAGAACUCAAAACCACUUUUCUUCAUAAACUCGUCUGCUUUCAUUCCACUUACACGAGGUUCCAUGACAACCACCAUAGACGGGUUAUAAUUUUUUAGAACAGUCUUAAAAGAGCGCCGAAAAUUUCUGGAGGCCGCUCCUUGGACAUUCCAAAACAAUAUGCUAAUCGUCAUAAAAAUAAACAAAAAAGAAAACCAAGGGAUUUGGGAUGCACGAUUGCUGGUGAUUGUAGGCACGCGGCUGUUGGUUGUUGGAUACGUGGGCUGGAGAUGCGGGCUGCCACGCGCGGGCUGGUUGGUGAGCACGGCUGCUGCUCUGGUACUGUGCUGCUGGGUGCGCGCGCGGGACGGAGCUGGAGAAUUUUUUAUUUUCAAAUUUUUUUUUACUAAAAACUAAAAGAGACACUUAAGACACCGAAAAAAAAUUUACAGAAGUAUUUUUUUAAUAAACAUAUGGGCACACUUAACCAAAAAUUUUCUUCUGGCCAAAAUAAGCAAAAACAUUAUUUAAACAAUCUGAAUCAAAAUUAAAAACAAAACAUAUAACAAAAAUCAAAAUAAAUAAAUCCUUUGGGUUGCCUCCCAAAAAGCGCAUUUGUUUUAUGUCUUUGGCUAGACACAUUCAUGCAUCAAUCUCCAUAAAUGGGACUCUCGAGAGCCACAUCCUCCACAAUAUUCACCGAAAAACCUUCAUAAAAAGGUUUUAAGCGAUGACCAUUAACCUUAAAAACUUUGUCAGAGGUCGGACUCCGAAUCUCAACUGCACCAUGAGAAAAAAUAUUAGUAACAAUAAAAGAAUCAGCAUAUUUCAAUCACUUUCUUUAGAUUAUAGAGACAAUCAUCAAAAGAAUCAGCAUAGACUAUAAAAUCGUCCAUAAAUACCUCUAUAAUGUUCUCGACAUAGUCUAGAAAAAUACUGACCAUACACCUCUGAAACGUGGCAGGAGCGUUACAAAGACCAAAUGGCAUACGUCGGUACGUAAAGGUUCCCAAAGGACAUGUGAAGGUAAUCUUCUCCUGAUUCUCAGGCGCAACUGGUAUCUGAUGAAAACUUGAAUAGCCAUCAAGACAAUAAAAGUGAGAUUUUCUCGCCAACCUUUCAAGCAUCUGAUCAAUAAAAGGAAUAAGAAAAUGAUCCUUCUUAGUGAGUAAAUUAAGUUUUCUAAAAUCAAUACAAACCCUCCACCCAUUCUGAACUCGGGUGGGUUUGUAUUGAUUUUAGAUUAUACCUGCAUUUGCUAUCUGAAAUUGGAUAGAUUAUACCUACAUCAAGAAGUUUCAGAAUUUCUUUCUUCACUACUUCCAUCAUGAGUGGAUUCAAACGGUGUUGAGCUUGAAUUGAAGGUUUGGCAUAUUCCUCCAGCAAUAUUCUAUGCAUGCACGUGGACGGACUUAUCCCUUUAAUAUCAGCAAUUGUCCACCCAAUAGCCUUUUUGUAAUCCUUCAGCACUUUAAUAAGCUUUUUUUCCUCUAAAGUACUAAGCUUUGAAGAGAUGAUCACCGAAAUUGUCUGACCAUCUCCUAGAAACAUGUACUUUAGAUGACUCGGCAAUGGUUUAAGCUCUAUUUUCGGUGCUUGCAAAAUAGAUGGAAGAAGUUUUGCAUAAGAUGAAGGUAAUUCAAUAUAAGGCAUAUGAUGAGUUAAAGUUCUCAAAGAAUUUAAUUCAUAAAUUUUCUCUUGCAAUACAGAAUUUAAAACAAACUCAUUUUCAUCCUUUUACAAUCCUUUGAGGCCUAAACUGUUAUUUAAAGCAGCUACCAAUGAAUCUUCAACAUCCAAAUAAAAAACUUCCUGCACUAUAGGGUUAAUAACAUCAACAGAAAAUACCGAAUGUUCCUCACUAGGAUAUUUCAUGGCAUCAUUCAUAUUGAAUUCUAUAACCUCUCCAUCAAACUCCAUAGUGAGAGUCCCUUUAUGUACAUCUAUUUUAGUCAUAGUAGUCUUAAGAAAAGGUCUUCAUAGCAAAAUUGGGACAGAAUUAGAGGAGUUAUCCUGUUCCAUAUCAAGUACAUAAAAAUCAGCAGGAAAAACCAACUCAUUAACUUGUACUAAGACAUCUUCUAAUACCCCAUCAGGAUAUACAUUAGACCUAUCAACUAGUUUAAUUAUCACGCCAAUUUCUUUUAAUGGACCAACAUUCAAAGAUGAAUAAAUGGAACAAGGCAUGACAUUAAUAGAAGCUCAUAUAUCUAACAUAGCCUUCUCAACUUUAACACUACUAAUUUUGCAAGGGAUAGUAAACAUACCUGGAUCCUUACACUUAUGAGGUAGUUUCUUUUGGAGAACUACUGAAAUAUUCUCCCCCAUGUGAACUCUUUCAUCUCCUUUUAAUUUUCUCUUGGAGGUGCACAGUUCCUUAAGGAAUUUAGUAUAUCGAGGUAUUUGUUUUAUAGCAUUUAAUAAAGGAAUAUUUACCUCAACCUUGCGAAAUGUCUCAAGGAUGUCUUUCUCUUGUUCCUCCUUCUUGGAUUUUACAAACCGGCUUGGAAAAGGAUGAGGUAUCACCACAGGUAGAGGUUUCGCUCUGGUGGGUUGCGCAUCUUGAGAUUUAGGCAUCAAUUCAUUCUUCUCAAGCUCAUCUUCUACAUGCUUUGUCACUUUCUUAUUAGGAUCUUGCAACUCCUUCCCACUUCUAAGGAUGACAACACUAGCGUUUUGCUUUGGAUUCACCUCAGAUUGUGAAGGCAAUCUCCCUGAUAAUUGAGACUCCAGACGGCUCACUGUAGUCGCCAAUUGACUCAUUUAGUUCUCCAAAUUCUGAAUGCUUGUUGUAGUUGCCUGCUGAAAUUGUUGAGUGUUAGUCGCAAGUGAUUUAACAAUUUCUUCAAGAGAUAUACCUGACUUGGAGUUUGACUGUGGAGGUGCUGGUUGUCUUGGUUGGUAUUAUUGUAGGAAUCCUGACGGCCUAACUCCAUAGCUGAAGUUGGGAUGAUCCUUCCAUCCCGGAUUGUAUGUUUGUGCAUGAGGAUCAUAUCUCCUCUGGGGCAUGCUUGGAAAUCCUCCAACUGCAUUAGCUUGUUCAAUGGGUUCUUCUUAAAGUGUAGGACACAUAUCAGUUGAAUGACCCAUAUUAGAACAACUGCCACAAGCCUUCACCUGUUGCACAUUACCUAUGAUAAACUUUUCCACAAGAGAAGUAAGUUUAUCUAAACAUUAUUCAAUAGAAGAAAUAUUUACCUCAUUCACCUUUCUUAAAGUGGGAUCUUGCCUGCUGCCAAAUUAUUGUGCAUUGGCAGCCAUAUUUGAGAUCAACUCCCUUGCUUGAGUAGGGGUCUUGUUCACCAACACACCUCCACUAGCCACAUCUAUCAUACUCCUAUCCAUCAAUGAUAGUCCUUCGUAAAAGUAUUGAAUAAGAAGUUGAUCAGAAAUCUGAUGCUGAGGACAACUGGCACACAAUUGUUUGAAUCGCUCCCAAUACUCAUACAAAGUCUCCCCAGGAAGUUCUCUGAUCCCACAAAUGUCUUUUCUGAUGUUGGCAGCUCUUGAAGCAGGAAAGUACUUCUCAAGGAACUGCUUCUUCAAACCAUUCCACGUUGUAAUCGAUCCAGGAGGUAAAUAGUACAACUAGUCUUUAGCUAGCACAUCUAAAGAGAAAGGAAAAGCACGCAGCUUAAUCUGCUCUUCAGUCACUCCUUAUGGUCUUAUACUUGAACAGAUGACAUGAAACUCCUUGAGAUGUUUAUGAGGAUCUUCACCUGCAAAACCAUGAAACUUGGGUAAUAAAUGAAUAAGACCAGACUUUAAUUCAAAAUUUACCUCCAAGUCUACAUAUUGAAUGCAUAGUGGUUGCUGAUUCAAGUCUGGUUAAGCUAACUCUCUAAGAGUUCUUUCUAUGUUGGCAGCUCUAUCCAUCACUUAUUCUUCUGAAUCGCUAAAUGAUUCAACCAAAUCAGGCACCAUAUCUGUUCCAGAAAGCAAAGGCGACGAGGAUCGUUGCUUAGCUCGCUUCGUCUGCUGUCUUAGCUGGCAAGCUGUCUUCUCAAUUUCAGGAUCAAACGAAAGUGUACCUGUACGGGAAGAACGAACCAUACACCAAGUAAAACGUAAAAAGGAUUAAAUAAACGACACCAAUCCCCGGUAACGGUGCCAAAAUUUGAUGGUUGUCGAAGCCAGCAAAAAUAAAUAUUUACUCUAAAUAAAUUGUGUAUAGUGAUUGAGCAGGGUCGUGUCCACAGAGAUCGGUAAUUAUUUAAAUCCUUUUAAAUUGUAAAAUGAAAAAUGGGGGGAUUGUUGACAAUAAUAAAAAUCAAAUUAAAAUAACAAGAAUACAAAUUAAAAUUGUAAUUCAAAUUGGUAAAAGCUCUGGUUGAAGGAAUUAACUCAGCUUGAUUCGACUACUGAUUAUUGAUUCAAAUAUAAAUCAUUACUACUUAUAAAUAGACCGGUUAUAGCUACUGAGACCCUUUAAUAGUCAAUCUCUCCUUAACUAGUCGAUAACCAAAGUACACCCAUUGGUUAUUUCUCUAAUCAAUAGACAACCCUAGAUACGAUCAUAGGAUUUAAUCAAUUGACAGCCUGAAAAACCAGAGAGACCCAAAUCAUAAUCAACACACGCAUACGAUGGUUCAUUUAAAUUAGAUUGUUUAUUCUCAUAGCACAACACACUACUAUGCUAUUUGUCACAAUCAUUAAAAUCUUCAUACGAUGAAUCUUUUAAUUGACAAUAGAUUAAGUUGAUAAUUAAAUAGUGGCCAAUUAUCUAAUUAACAAACAUAAUCAUGACAAUAAUUUAGAGAAUAAACAAAUACCCAAAAAGCAAUAAAACAAUUAAGCAUAAGAAAGAUCUCACAGUAAUGAUGAAUCAAAGCUUUAUUAACCUUCAACCAGAAUAUUUGGUUUAGUUCUUCAUAGAGAGAAGAGAAAAAUUUAGAUCUAGGGUUUCUUGUUCUUUCUUUCUUUGACAAUAGAUUCCUCUCUUCAAUUCUCUUCUCUCCCUUCUCCUCUAGAGUUCUUUUUAAAAUAAAAUACUAAUAUCUAAAAUAUUAUCUAAAUAUUAAAUUCAUAAUUACAAAAAUAACCAAAAAGACAAAACACGUUAAAAUAAAAAUUGCAGGUCCUUAGUUGACAGCACGCGCCCACGCCUUAUGAACAAAGUUCUUCUGAAGCUUAUAAUUUCUCCAGGAACACAAUCAUCCUCAAAUAUCAUCUUGUAGCUCAAUUUUAACACCAAUCAAUAGAAUUGCACCUACAAAAAUAAAACACAAGUAAAUCAUUAUUAUUAAAUGCCAAACAUCGAUAUUAAAGGAAGUAAACAAUACAAAACUAGUGCAUAAAUUGCACUCUAACAAUGAAUCAGGCGAUAUUUGAUUGGGUAAUUAUGGUUGAUGAGAAUACAUGUAUGUACAGAAAUAUUAGGAAAAGAAUAUAUUAUGGAAAGCUGAUAGACCUGCUGUUGUGAGAAGUUUGGCACCAUUGUUCAGAUACUAGAUCAGUUGUAGAUGAAGAGAAUGCAUUGGUUAUUGAGUAAGAGAGCAUAUAUGGUUCUAUAAAAAACAUGUCUAAGGAUAUAAACAUGGUCAUUACUAGUUAAUCAUUUGCAACCUUUAAGAGAAGAACUGCAAGUUGGUAAUCUGUUAAUAUGAUAUAGUACUAUAUAAAUAGCAUUUUAGAAAAAUUUGAAAAGGGAGAUUAGCUUAAACUAACAAUAUUAAUGCUAAUUCAGUUAUAUGUUUGUGUUUACUCUCAACUGUAUUAUUUUGAUGAUGAGUACAUGGACAAGAGUGUCUAAAGACAAUCCCAUUUUGAUUUAGAAACUUAGAAAAAACUCUAUGCUCUCCUCCCUCUAGUUAGAUUACAAUAUUGCAAUUGUUGUAUUGAAUUGAUUUUCCGCCUGAGGUUUAAACAAUUAAACACUUUAAAGGUUUUAGACUUAAGCUUUAAUGGAUAAAUCUAAGUAUAUUUGCUAGAAUCAUCAACAAAACUGAUAUAAUAUUUGUAUCAAUUUCUAGACAAAGUAGGUAAACGCCCUCUAAGUCAGAAUGUAUCAUUUCCAACACAUAUAAAGUUUUGGUUUUGAUUGUAAAGAAAUGUUGUCGAUGAACCUUGCCUAAUUGACAUGCUUCACACAAAGAAUUUACAGAUGACUAGAUAUCCUUUUGAGAGAAUUGAAUGGAUUACAAGACUUUAGUAAAUGUAUCAUUACUGUUGGAUUUGGAUAACUAAAUCUUCUAUUCAACAUAGUUACUGUAUCAAGUUUUGAAGUACAAUUGUUUGAGACAGAAUGAAAACAAGCCUUAGUCAAGAUAUUUCACUUAUGAAAAAUAGGAGAAACAACUGUAAAGAAUUUAUUCAACUAGAAUUGAGAGAGACAAGACUCAUAUUAAGAUAGAGUAAGCUUGAAAAAAAAUUUAAAAAGACCUUUCUCAGCAAGGCCUUGCAGAAGAACAUAUCCCUUCAUGUCUUUUAUAGAGCCGAUAUUACCCCAACAUUCAACAGUGAGACUUAUCAAAAGUGAGCUCACAAACACUUAAUAGAUUUUUAGUUAUUGAAGGCACAUGUAACAUUCUCUAAGUGCAAUUACAAUAUGGUUAGAUGAGUAAUUUGAAGCUCUAAACAAUAGAAAAGCAUGUCCAACAUGAGUGAUAUACAACCUUUGGCUAUUUCCAAUAAUGAGUUGGUCAGUACCUUUAAAUUCUUCCUUGAGGUGCAUGUUUUCCAUAUUUUUAGUCAAAUGAUGAGUUGCUCCACUGUCUAAAUGCCAACCAUCAUUAACAGGUCCUUCAAAGUUAGCACAAAGGCUGCUCUAAGAGCAUUAGCACUAAUUCUAGACUAGUAACCAAUUUUAGAGUCAAGAAAAUAAGCCAGUGACAUGUAAUUGGUUUUGACAUAAUCUUCAUAACUUUGAGGAGAAGCAGAUCCUUCAAAGUUUGCAAUGUAACUUGUUCUUACUAUUUUUCCCUUUUCAAAACCACUUGGCAUAGGUACAUUGUCUUCCACAAACUUAUGCCAGUAAACAUUUGCUGUGUGUAUAGAUUUGAACAAAUUUGACACAUAAGUUCCUCCAUAAUAGCUCUUUGUGACCUAUUUAUGCCAUUGAAUCCACUCUUAGCAAAUUGAGAUGGAUUCUUAUGAACUUGAAAAGGAUAAAGGCCACUGGAGUUUUGACUAUAUGAUUGUCCUCUAAUAUAUCCCCUACUAAAACCUUCAUUGAACAAUCUUUAAGAACAAUUCAUGCUUCUCUACCAAGUAGAUUUCCUCUACCUCCAAAGUUACCAAAAUCACCAUUAUAUCCUCAUCUUCUAAAGCGACACUUAGGUUGUGCAUAGUAUGCCUUGGGAUAAUAUGAAUUCGUAUAUGCAUAAGUAGCAUUAAACAUAGUUUGAUCAUCAUGUUCUUACUCCAAUCUAGUUUAUGUGUAAGCAACAAAGCAUAUGCACCAUCAUAUUCCAUAUGGAAACCAGUAAUAAAAGUGGCAAUAUCAUGAUAUCCAGAUACUCGUCUAUUAUAAUGGUCAACAUAACAUCUUUCUCUGUUUCAUUUUAAUAAAAUAAUCUUCAACACUCAACAACACUUUUUUAAGAGCAUUCAAUUCAUACCUAAGUUGAAGAACUAUAGCCUUUGAUUGCACACUAAACUUCUUCUCAAGUGUUCUUCAAACAUCAAAGGAAUUUACAUAAUUUAUAACGAGACUUAGAGUACUUUCAUUUAUUAAUGACAGUAGCCAUCUAAGAAGAGUCUGAUCUUGUGAUCUCCAAUUGUAAUACUCUAGAUUAUCAACUUGAGUAGAUCCAUCAACUCUAGCUGGAAGAAGAUAUUGCUCAGGUGGUAAUUUUUCUGCAGUGAUAAAAUCCUCCAAUCGAUUGCCUCUAAUUAAAGCUAAGACUUGAGAUCUUCAAAGCCAAUAGUUCGAUCAAUCUAAUUUCAUUGGAAUAUUAAAGGAGAAAUUAAUUUGAGUUUGUUGAUGUUGUGGAUUUGUGUUGUUUAUGGUUAAAUUGUGAAAUGUUGUGUUUUGAUUACUAGAACUAGCCAUGGCCGGCUCUAGUACCAUGUUAUAAUAGCUCAAAUGAGCUUAAUCUCUUUGUUUGGAAGCCGAGAAAAUGGAAAGGAAUAUUCUGGAUCUCUAAUUUUUAAUUCUCGAGUAAAAAUGAAGACUACGUUAGUAUCCAUAAUGAGCUAAUUACACACACGAAAGAAUUACAAAGCAAGCUUAUACAUGUAACUAACAACAUUACUGACCAGGCUUAACCAACACAUGUUGAGCGUGGAACUUCUUUAUAUGUAGUAUGUGCUUUCUUUACAACAUUUCAGCAGAGCAAUUUAGAAAGUCGAAAAUGAUCCUCUUAGGCACUAUAAGGCAGAGUUUAUUUAUUUAUUUAUUAAUGCUAUAAUUUAGGAGUGUCCAUAAUACGAUCUUAUAGUCAUGAUUUAUUAUCAUUUUAUCUUGAGACAAAAGGACUGUUGUUGAAUCCUCAUUAGCAAAUGUUCAUUGCUUUCAUUUUUGGAUUGGUAGAAACAAAAAACAUAAGAAGAAAAGAAAUUAAACAAGAUUACUGGACAUUAGUAUCUUUUUCUUUUCUUGAACAAAGUCUUUCUUUUCUCUAGUUUUUGUUAAGAUAAUUUCUUAACCUUCCUCUUAUCUCUUUCAUUUCUUGAACCAAGAUGCGUGCCUUUACUUACAAGGAAAGUUUAAAUGCUCUUUCCUUCCUUUUCUCUUAACUUCUGUUUUUCUUAAGAAAUCAUUUUCAAUUCUGCCAACACCAUCCAUUUAUCAAUAACCAAUUUGAAUAAAGUUCUACAUUUUGAUUUUUAUGCUCCUUUCAAGUAAUAAUUUAAUUUUGAAGCUUUCAGCCACAAUAAGAUGUUGUUGCGAUAAUAAAGUUGUUAAUUACUGAAAGGAACAAUAGCAAAGUUCAUAAUAAUACCAUACCAAAAUGCAAUUCUUCGAAACUUGGUCAUCCAUUAUUGGAGGUGAUGUUAUGCGUUGAUUUUGAGGGGAGAAAAUUAAAUUUAUUGCAAUCCUAAUGAGCUCCAUAUAUAAAACUGUGGGUUAGAUAUUAUUUUCUUGAAAAGGAGAACGUUCGACAUUUUAGUUAAAGUUCUACAUUUUGAUUUUUAUUUUUCUUUCACGUAGGAAUUUAAUUGUGGUGCUUUCAAUCAUAAUAAGAUAUUAUCGAGAUAUUGAAGUCUUUGAUUACUCAAAGGAACAAUAACAGAUUUCAUAACAAUUAUGUACCAAAAUGCAAUUCUUCUAAACUUGGUCAUUUGUUAAUAGAAAUGAUGUUAUGCAUUGAUUCUGGGACAAGAAAUUUUAUUAAUUGCAAUCCUAAUGAAUUCCAUAGAAAAAAUUAUAGGUCCGCAAUUAUUAUUUUCAUAAACAGGAGAACGUCUUAACUGCUCUUGGAGCAUCGAGUAAUUUUUGUCAAUGGUGCUCCAACCAAAUGACAAGUCUCCACAGGCACUAAAAAAAAUUAAAAUUCUUUAAUUGAAAUAAAUGUUAUCCUCUAUUACAAUCUCCUUCUUUUUCUCCCUCGGAUUUGCUUGCAUUUUCAGCUAUUGCUUCUUCGUUACGAAUAACAUUGGUGGGAGAUGUACUUGGUUCUUCAAAAAAAAUCUAAAAUCUUCGUACUCAAGGAAUCAAGGUCACAUAGUACGGAGUUCCAAAAAGCUUGAUAAAAAUUAUGGUCUCUAUCUCUGCACUUUGCCCCCCGAAAAAGGCUUAUUCUUCAUCUUUCCUUUCUAAAGGAUGCAAGUUUCGUUUGGUAAAGUGUAGAGAUAGAGAGGAGAGAGAGGAUUGAUUGACUUCAUCUGCCCUUUUCUUUUUCAUUUUAUUCGAAGGCCCCACAUAGUAUGGUCUCUAUUUAUUUAUUAAGACCUUGAGCUUCCUUGCGUAAAAAGGACAAGACCUUACAAGGCGGUUGAGACCACCAAACUAAAUAAAAAAUUGUAGCACCCACGUUAGCCAACUUAUUAGUAUGUCCCAUUACAUUCCCUUAUUAUGUGAGUAAACCGCACUUCUAUCUGGAUCAUAAGCUGCAAAAAAUUAUUUCAUCUACUAAUCGAAGGCCAAAGAGGAGGAAGAUGACCAUUCUAAAGAUGGAAAAUGUAUGGCAUGCAUUGAAUCACAUUCAAUCCAAAUCUUGAAACAUUGACGAUCAAAUGCAUUCUUAAUUAUUAGAAUUACAGCCAUCAGCACAACAUAGGAAGCUGAAUGAAUGAAUCCCAAGCGAACAAGCAAAACAACCAAGAAUGUAUUUAAGUUUUUGCCUUUUUCUCUACUUAUAUGGAGGAGAUGUGUAACACCCUAGGCAAAUCUCACAUUGGCAAAACGCAGGAGAGAUGCUGGGUUUAUAAGGGGUGAUCUACUAUUUAAUUGGCAAGACGAGUUUCAGGGUGUAUAGGCGUCCCAAAAAAAACCUCGGGGGCCUUGUUAAGGCUCAAAGCGGAUAAUAUUUUGUCAAGUCUGGGUUAAGUCAUGACAGAUGGUAUAAGAGGGGCUCCGCGUGUCUUCUUAAGCAAUAGUGGGGCAAACCUUAGCUAGGACGUUGACUUUCUAAGGGGAUGUAUGUAACACUCUAGGUGAAUCUCACAUUGGCAAAGUAUGGGAGAGAUUCUGAGUUUAUAAAGUAAUCCAUACCUUAAUUGGUAUGGCGCAUUUUAUGGUGCAUGGGCUCCCCAAGAACAAAACCAUGCGGGCCUUGUUAAUGUCUAAAACCAAUAAUAUCUUGUCAGGUUUAGGUUGGGUAAUGAAAAAAUGGAACACACACAAAACCAUAGUACACGAACAUAAGGAAUUCGUUAUUCUUCUCUAAUGCUUAGAUUACUUAAUGAGGAAAUAAUCACUUACCUUUAAUGAGAACUCGUCAAGAUUAAUAUAACCAAGGAUCAUGCCAACUUUGGAAACAUAUAACCUUACAGGACAAGCAUGCAAAUAGUCUCUCUUUUGAUGAUUCUUUUAGUCCCCACAUGAAGAUAUUCGAUAAACCCCGUGUUCAGCUAUAAUAUCUCUUGUGCGAUCAUCUUCAUGCCUCUACGCAUCGACGCGGUCCAUAUAUACUUAAUGAAACACAAAGCCCUAAUUCUUGAUUGAGUCAACUCCCGUUGAUAGCUAGCUCUCGUUCUAACGAAAGACAACCUAUGUUACAGAGAAAAUUACUUGAUAAUAAAGACUAGAUUAUGUUGACAAUAAGGAUUCCAACUCAUAAAAAUAUGUAAAAGAUGUUAUCAAUGGAAUGCCACAUUCAUAUUAGAACAUAGAUUUUACACAAUCUAAUUAACUUGGACGAGGAAAAUUUUGUAUUCAACAUCAUUUGAAGUUUUGAACACCUCAUUUACUUAUUUAUAUUUAUUUGUGUGUGCGUCCGUGAUUGUUUUUCGAAACGGAAAUAUCAAAUUCUUUAGCCCAUAGGAACAUGGUGAGUUUUAGUUUAUAAGCUACCACAAGUUUUGUUCGAUUUUAUCUUUCCAUCAUUUUUUUCAUUUUCUUUUCCUUAAAUUAAGAAAAGUGUAAAUAUGUGGGCGGGGGAUUUUUUUUAAUUAAAAGUGUUGUAAAAUGAAAAAUAAAAAGAAGUGGUUAACUUACAAUAGUCUGAUAAUAGCCAACAUAGUUUCGAAGUUGAUGACCAUCCACUUUUACUUCUUUUCCGAAGUUGACGGCCAUCCACAAUUGCUCUUUUAAAAUGUAAUUUUCACAGAAAAAAUUGGUGAAAAAAAUGACAAAAACAUUGAAGACUGAAAAUCUCGACGCAGAUAAGAUAAUGCCAACAAACAAUGGAAAUUUUUUUGAAGACAUGGUGGUUGAAAUUCUGUCGAAGUUUCCCGUUAAAUCUUUACUACGGUUCAGGUGCGUUUGUAAAUCUUGGUAUGAAUUAUUUGAAAGCCCUAGUUUCAUUUCCAAACACCUAAAAGCUGGAAACAGUAAUACUCGUCUCAUUCUACGUUAUGUAGAUUCCAGUGAUGAUCCUGAAUAUCCAAGACUUCGUUAUUGUUUGUUCCUUGAUCCAACGCUGGCAAAUAUAUCUUUAGAGGAAGAUCUUAUUCUACUAAUACCCAUAGAAGAACAUUUUAGGGGUCCUUUUGAAGGUUUAUUUAUUAUGUUUAUAGGAGGAGAUGAAAUUGCUUUAUACAACCAUGCUACCAGAGAUUUAAAAUUUCUUCCAAAACUUACACUCAUAGACAAUCUAGAAUCAAUUUACACUAUUAUGUUUGGAUUGGGAUUAGACCCAAAAUGUAACUACUAUAAGUUAGUUUACAUUGUGACUUACCAUGAUAGUGAACUUGGGAAAGUUCUUAACGAUUCAAGACAAGUUUUUAUUUACAGCUUUAGUGAUAAUUCCUGGAGAAAUUUUCAAGGCUUUGAGUUUGGUAUGUAUGAUCUUGAUGAAGUGUUAGAUUGCACAUAUCAUAAUGGAGCUUGUCACUGGUUGGUACCGUUUGGCGCUUUUCAUCCACUUUGUUGUCAUUAUGUGAUCCUUUCAUUUGACAUGAGUGAUGAAGUUUUUGAAGAGAUACAAGGGCCUAAUUGCCUUCUUGAAAUAUCACCUAAGCAUACAGUUUUUGGGUUAUACAACGAUUCUCUUUCAUUUUUAGUAUUUGAUGAAAGGGAGAGUUGUUUUGAUAUAUGGACAAUGAAGGAGAGAUAUCAUUGGACCAAAGAAUUCUCCACUACCCCUAUUCUCGCAGUUGAUGCUCCAAUUGGGUUUUGGAAGAAUGAUACCUUUUUUAUAAGAUCUAACACGGAAGAGUUACUUUUAUAUGAUCCGAAUUCUGAAGAAAUCAUUGACUUUCAACACAAAGGUUGUUGCUUUACGAUUUUUUUCGAUAAAGAGAGUUUAUUCACAUUGAAAUGCUAGAGAAAUUCCUUGAUUCAAAACCAUAAGUUGAUAGGUAAGGGCUCAACGACAAGUCUUAAUAGGUUGUCUACUUUACGUGAAACGUGGGCUAAGACUUGAGGUAGAAACCCUUAUACAUGGUUUUAAAGAGAAUACGAGAAAGUGAGCUAACAAAUUGAAGAAAUAAUUGAACGAACAGACUCACUGUACCAAGUGAUUCGUCAAAUAAGGAGCUUCGGUAUGGCCUUAAUAAUGUAGGAGCUAUUUUCAGAUACAUUAUUGGUUCUACAAGUGUAGUGGGCUACUGUAUCGGCUUUGUGGGUUAAAGUUUCUACAGAGUUUUAGGGAAAGAAUAUUGCCAUUGAGAGAUAUGGAUAAUGUAAUGCAGUAGCCAUUAGCUAUAUGAAUUUAUUAAAUGAUGUAUUAGUAUAGUUCAGAGCAAUCUUGUUUACAUAUUCAAAGUAAUACCCUGAAAAUACCCAUGUAAUACCAAGAUUUUUACUUGUAUUCCAUAAUUUCUGAGUUCUUACAUUCCAGACUUCAUGGUUUUGUUCCUUUUCAAUGUUAAAUUUGCCUUGAUUUGUACCACAACUGGCCCGGAACUGUAUGUCGGAUCCAAGGUGAAUCAUGCGGUUUGACAUCUAGUACUCAUGAUAUAAACUUAAUUCAUAAACAUAUAAAAAUGAUUUCGGGCCUCUAAUAUAAACAUGUAAUAACAUCCAUGUCUCAUCCGAAAACAUAUUCAAUCUUCGCACACUUCACAUCUCACUAUGUACAUAUACAUCUUAAAUACUAACAUAAGAACAUAAAUGUGCUCAAAGUACAAGUGAUACAACAAUGCGUGUCAUGGCCCAACCUCGAUUUAUUCAAAAUUGGACAGCACAAAAUCCAAUAGAAACCUGUGAGAAAUGGGGUAAAUAGGAAAAUAGUGAGCAGGGGGCUAUAUAUAUAUAUAUAUACAUACAAAGAGAGAGAGAGAGAGAGAGAGUAAUGCACCAGUGCUUAUUCAUAAUCAUAUGACGUAACUCCACAGAGAACACAUUAAAGACUUAAGAGGAAACGAUGAGAAGGCUUAUUCAAUUUCAUUGAUUUACACGUACCAAUAUAUACAGCAAAUAGUGCAACAGCUACCUAUAUUAUUGGUUUGUUACAACUGAAUAUAUCUUUACGUUCAAAAUACUUUGAACAGGUAAACUCCUAUAAUCAUGGAGGAGAAUCCUCUAUCAUGCCCCCUCAAGAUGGACUUCUUGAAAGCAGUCCGAUCUUGCAUCGAAGUUGAAGGAAACGUGGUCGUGGGAGAGCUUUUGUAAGAGCAUCAGCUAGCUGAUCAUUAGAUGAUACAUGUGCAACCCGUAAGGAACUGUUUUGAACUUGCUCCCUGAUAAAAUGAAAAUCAAUGGCAACAUGUUUCAUCCGUGAGUGAAAGAUUGGAUUAGAACACAACUAAGUUGCUCCUACAUUAUCGCAGUAAAUAACUGGACAAGUAGGCACUCUAAUAUACAGGUCUGUUAACAGUGAACAUAUCCAAGUAAGCUCGGCUGCUGUAUUGGCAACGGAGCGAUACUCAGCUUCGGUGGAGGAUCGUGCCACUGUGCGUUGUUUCUUCGAACACUAGGAUACUAAGUUUCGACCAAGAUAUACCAAGUACGCACCUGUCGAUGAAAAAUCAUCUUUGUUGCCUGCCCAGUCGGCAUCAAAAAAGGCAUGUAUACUGGUGGAAGAAUGAUGAUAUAGUUGAAGACCCUCAUUAACAGUACCUGCCAAAUAUCGAAGGAGUCGCUUGACACAGGUCCAGUGGUCAGUUGUCGGACAAUGCAUAUACUGUGAUAAGCGAUUAACCACGAAAGCUAUGUUUGGUCUGGUGAUUAAAAGAUAUUGGAGACUGCCCAACAUAGCACGAUACUCAGUGGCAUCAUCCAAGGGAAUGCCAGAUUAUGACGUCAGCUGCGCAGUAGUUGAAAGAGGAGUGAGUACCGAUUUUGCUGCCGUCAUGUUUGCUCGAUUUAAUAACUCCAGUAUAUAUCUUCUUUGAGACAAGAUCAACCCCUAGUCAUUCAGUACAACUUCAAUGCCUAAAAAAUAUGCCAAUUUUCCAAGAUUUUUGAGAGAGAAUUGCUUGACAAGAAGAGUUAUAAAUUCAUUGAUCUUGAGAGGCUUGUCCCCCGUGAUUAUGAGAUCAUCAACAUACACAAUGAGAUAUAAAAUAUGUGUGCCAUCAUUAUAUACAAAUAGCGAUGUAUCAGCUAUAGACGUAAACUUUGGAGGAACUUGUAUCAAGACACAAAAAUGCACUCUGACUUGUCGAAUAACCAAGAAAUACACAUGGUUUAGAAUUGGACUCUAGUUUGUGAACCUUAUAAGGUCUAAGCCACGGAUAGCAAAGACACCCAAAAAUUUUGAGUUUGGUAUAAUUAGGUUUUGCCUAAAAAAUUUUCUCAUAGGGUGAAUAGUAUUGGAGGGUUGGUGUUGUGCAAAUUUUAAUGUACUCGCAAGCGCACGAAUCAAUUGUAGUGUAGAUCAAUGGUGACGAGUGUCGAUCCCACGAGGAGGUGGAUUUUAAUUAUAUAUAGAAUUAAUUUUGUAAAUGGGUGGUUGGAAUUAUGGUGGAAAUGAUUUGGAAUAUGCUAAAACUUAAAUUAAAAUGGCGAGAAUAAAUUCUAAAAUUGGAAUUGCAAUGGCGAGAAUAAAUUGAAGAUAAUUCUAUUGAAAUGACGUACUUGGGUAUUCGGAUCCGUAUCAACAUGCAUCAUGGGCUAAAUAUUUCUUAUUAAUGCCAAUUAAAUUAUGAGGGGGGAAUCCACACCUCAUGAACCACGCUCUAAUCAAUAUGGUGCUAAGGGCUUAUCGUGCCAAAUAAUAAUAACCUUAUACUAGAAAGCCGGUGUAACCAAGGCGGUAUCUAGACAAGAUCAGUAUUAUUUGUCGACGAUAAGUCAAAUCAUCCACAAAAACUAGAGGGGAAAAGAAAAUAAAUUUACCAAAUAAAGCCCAUGACACAUGUUGAGACUUCACCUUCAACCCAAGCUUGAAAGGAAAUUAGCUACUCAUAAUUGAACUAGGGGCAAAAUGGGAAUUUAUUAAAAUACAAAGAAAAUACAAGAUGGAGAAGGAAUUACAGAAAAUGGAUCCCAAAAAUGGAUUCAGAGAUAUCAAAUUAGGGGGGGGAGGCCCCCUUUUUAUAGAUACAUGGAGUAAAUCAUGGCCAUCGGAUUAAAAACAGUUUGGACGCUCAGGAUUGCGCCACGUCAUCAGUCAACAGUCCACGGUUUGACCACGCGGAUGAACAGUAACACGGUUUGACCUGGAUGAACAGUAACGCGGUUUGGUUGAAAAUAAUCCUGUGUGAUGCAUGCACCGUACGCGAGAUUUUUCGUCCACUGAUAUGCUGCCACGUCACCAUCAACAGUACAUAAGAAUUUUAGUCCAACAGGAUCGUGACAGCUCAUCAGUCAAUGCCACAUCAUCGGUCAAUGCCACGUCAUCGAUCCGUCUAUGUGAACAGUGCCGUGAACAGUAACAUAUUCAGUACCGUAUACGUGAAUAGUACCGUACAUGUGAAUAGUGCCAUUUUUCCUUUUAUGCCCCUCCUAAGGUUUUCGACCGUCCUGAGUUCAAAAGUGAUGUCCGUUUUGCCAUCUGAUCUCUCCUUUAUUGUGAAAUGGCUAUAAUGCCCCUAAAAUACAUAAAAUACUUAAUUAAAAUAAAACACAUGUAAUUAAAUCACAAGAAGGUUAAAUACAUAAAAGUAAGGGUUGUUAAUAAGACUUGAAAUGUAAAAUGACGGUUUUCUCCUUUAUAAAUAUGUAUUUUCUAACACUCAACACACCCCCCAACCAGCUUAUUGCUAGUCCCUAGCAAAUAAAGCGAAAACAAAAUUCAAAUUCAAAAUAUUUUUUUUUUUUUUUUUUUUAGAAACACUCGUGUUUAUUCAAUCAGAUUAAUGAUAGCAAUCAAAUAAAAGUAUAAGCAUUAUCUCCAGUCUAAAGCAACAUCACACCCACAUCAACCAUCCACAUGAAUUAGCCCAGUAGACUUUGUUAUAGCUACUUUCAAGAAUGACAUGUCAAACCCCAAAAUCUCACUGGAAGUAGUGACACUCUCACAAAGAAAUUAAAACCCAAUAAACAUAGUCACUCCAAUGAAUGGUAAUUGAGAGAGAAAAUAAUAAAGAAAUGAUAUCACAUGCUCUCACCAAGAUGAAAUAAAUAUGCCCUCAGCUUAGAAAUAAUACGAUCUCAAGUUAAAUAAAAUGUUAGUCAACCCACUUUAUUUAUCUUUUUUUUUUUUAUUAUUAUGCAUCACUACAUCUUUUUAGCCCAUAUAACUAGCUUCUACUUCAAACUAUAGUUCCCUAAAAUCAAGAAGGACUUUUAUUAGGACGUAACGUAGGCUAGGGAUAUGGCUAACAAAGAAAGAAAAUAAGGAAAACAAAGUGUAUGUUUGAGAAAAAUGCAAAGAAUAUUUUUUUUGGAAGUUGCAAGGUGGAUUUCACCUAUUAUUUUUAUUUUUAUUUUAUUUUUCUUUUGAAACAACAACUUUUGUUUUGUUUUGUUUUGUUUUUUUUUUUUUUUGUUUGGCACAACUUUACUGAACAACAUAAUUAUUUACAUUUUCUCAAACAUAAAUAGGUGAUGGAACUUAUAAGACAUUGGGUAAUACUCCAAAUCGGAGUGGGUCAAGAUGAUAAGUUGACAAAGAAAAAGGUUUUUUUUUUUUUUUUUUUUUUUUUUUUUUUAAAGGCUCAAAAGGGUUAACUAUGGAUAUUUAAUAAAAGGGAUGGCUAGAAAGGCUCAAACGGAUCAAAGAUGGCCUUUCCAUCGUCUUUUAGGGCUCUAAAUAAUCUUCCAUAUCUACUAGUUAGAUGGGCCUCCAAAUGUAGCAACACACUCUUUUUUCUUUUCUUCUUCUUUUUUUUUUAUUUUACAAUUUUUUUUUUAUUAUUUUUUUUAAGGGUUAACUCAAAAGCAAUUUAGAGAUCGUGUGUAAAAUAAUAAACUGCUAAGCUGUAUAAAGAGUGGGCAAAAGGGUUAUUCUCCAAGAAAAAUAAUAGGCUCAAAAACUCACUUGGUACUUAUUAUGACAUGUUCAUUCCUUCAAGCAACUCACAUUUGUCUCCGACAUCAACAUGUAAAGUAGCAAACAUAGCGUAACAUCACUUAAGACCAAAGAUAAUACAAAUACUAAAAUUUGAAAUUAAUCAUGUCAUCCAAUGUUAAAACAAACCACAAAUUUUUUUUUUUAUUUUUUUUUUUAACAACAUUCUACCCCCCAACCUAUUCUAAACAUGAAAGGAAAAUAUGCAUGCAGAAAUGUGAAAAUGAUGCAUAAAAACUAAUUAGAAAAGUUACACGUAAAAUGAUAGAAAACAAAAAUGAUUUUUUUUUUUUUAAGAAGAUGCGUUUCUAGAGGAACUACACUCCAUAUUCAGCCAUCUUCGACUCAAAAGUUGGAAAAUGUAUAUUUAUAGAGGAGAAAUUAAAAAGAAGAAAAAUAAACAUAAACACAUAAUAAAGAAAAAGAAAAUGUCUGAAUUUUUUUUUUUUUUUUAAACGAUGAAGAUGCGUUUUUAGAGUCACUACACUCCAUAUUCAGCCAUCUUCAACACAAAAUGUUAGCAACAGUUAGUUUCUACAACAAAAAAUCAGUAAAAACUUAACUAAGAUUCCACAAUUGUCGACUAUUCCCUCCCCCCAACCAGAACGAAACAUUGUCCUCAAUGUUUUAAAGGAAAGAAGUAGAGUUUAGAAGACAUCACCUGGGUGGUGCAACACAGAAGAAAAUAUUUACAAGCGGAGAGUUAAAUCUAAUUUGUACUUCUUACUGCGGCUACUGUUACCAUCAUUAUUUGGUCGUUCCAACACAAAGGUCCAGGGGUCUGGCUCCGGUUUAUAAGCUUGUAACAUAUCAAGUAGCUCAUUAGCAGUGUGAGCACAAAUAAAGAGUUUUUUCACAUUAGAAGGAAUGAAAUAGUUUUUUAUUGCAUGGUUAAGAAAUGCGAUAAAGCCAUCAUAAAAGUUAUUGACAUUUAACAAACCGAUGGGUUUCUGGUGGAUGUGCAGAUGGGCCCAAGAUGCUAGUGUCAUAAGUGCCUCUAGUGUUGCAAGAUCUCCUGGAAGGAAAAUAAAAGCAUCAGCAUGAUUAAGCAUUUCAGUUAUUCUUUCUUGCAUACCUGAGACGACUAACUCUUCUCCAGUUGAUGAGUCAGACGAACUGCCCAAUGGUUUUAGGACUCUUGGGAUGAUGCCUAACACUUGACUUCCUCUGAUAAAAGCUGCUUCUGAGACCAUUUUUGAUAAUCCUCGGUUACCUCCUCCAUACACCAAGUGUAAUUUUCUCGCUGCUAUACUUCGACCAAGAUCUAUGGCUGCCUCCACGAACUCUUUAUGUUUGCCAUAGGUAAAUCCAGAAAGCACACAAAUGUUCUUGAAUUGUCUAUUGGGAGUAGCUGCCAUUGUGAUACUUCUCAAAAACAAUUUGUGAGUGCUUGACAAAAGAUAAAUCACAUUUAAGAAUCUUGGUGACAGUGGGUCACAACUGUGUAUGGGGUGGCAUGUCAGUGUCAAAUAACGCGUAAAGCACGUGGCUCGCGAGUCAAAAAGGAAACAGUAAAAAGGACAAAGCAAACAGUAAUAAAAUUAUUAAAGGCAAUAAUGCAAACGAUAAAACAAUAGUGAAAUAAAAUAACAGAAAGUAAAAGGAUAUUUACGCGUAGUUGCGACUGUGGCUCACAUCUUCCUCUGGUUUUACGUCCAGAAACGGCUUGAACGCCCUCUAUGGGUCGAGGAUGGGCUUCCCAUCCAGUUUUCUUAUAAACUGGCAAACAGGGUCGUUUAUAGUCAGAUUCCCGAGACUAUAUCGUGCAUGCUCUUUUUGGAAUAAUAGCCAUAACUGGAGAAUCGCUCCUUGCACAUAUCCACUGGGAUGCGUUUCAAGAGACAAAAGGAUAUCAUCCAAUGACUCCUUAUUCAAGCCAUCCCUAAUGAAUUGAAUCUUAUCUUCCCUGUUAUCAGACACCAUUCCUAAAGAACAUGGGUUUCUAUCGCAACUCAUUCUGGCACACUUAUGACAAGCAACAGAAAUUCUUCGAGCCCGUCGUUUUCUUGCGUAAUUUCCUUUACCACAACCAGGCAUGUAUGCAAUAAAUUUAGGAGGUAACUCACCUGCCAAUCGUACUUUAGCCUCAAUUAACCAACGGAUGUCAGCAGGUAUGUUAUUCUUCAUGAGUAAUCGCAUGCGUUCGGUCCGAGCUUUAUAGAUCGUAAGGAGGGCAUUCUGAGGAAGUGAAGGGAAUCGCUUGUGAAGCUUCGCUAGAAUCUCAUUUAUGUCCAUACUUUCGCCUCAGAAUGUCAGUUAUUGUGGGAAACUGAAGUUAACCGACUUGAUUGUCACGGAGUACCGUUAUCCGCCACUUCACCGGAGUAACAAACUAAAGCACACAAACAGAAAAACAAAUUAAAACACGAAAGAAAAUUAAAAUCGUCCUCUUAUUGAAUUUACCUCAAGCUCCAACUGGAUGUCGUAAACACUUCUCUCAAUGUCUCUGAGUUGGCGUUCUAAACCCUCAACAUAGGCUACUAACUCUGGUGGUUGUAGAGCCCAAAUGCGUUGUGUUUUACAAAAUAGAAUCUGCCUUUUGAGAUGAGUUUUGACACGUUGAAGUGGUUUAAGAAUGUUCAGGAGGAACGGUCUAAGUAUGAGACUCAUGAUUAAAAAUGAUAAGAGAAAACUUAAUGGUAAAAUAAACACACUUAUGCAAAAACAAUUUCAAUUAGCAAAAGAAUAAUAAUAAAAAGAAAUAAAGAAAAAUCAAAUCAACGAAAAGAAAAAAAAAUCAAUUCAAAUUUGGUGGGUCACUCAAAUUUAUUUCGAUGUUUUCUCCAUGUGGUUGGUACUCUAGAUAUGGCUUUAAUCUUUGACCAUUAACUUUAAACGUGACACCGUUCUUUGGGUCCUUAAUUUCAAUUGCCCCAUGUGGAAAAACAGUAUGUACAAUAAAUGGGCCAGACCAACGAGAGCGUAACUUACCUGGGAAUAGGUGCAAGCGAGAAUUGAAUAAAAGCACUUUCUGACCUGGAGUGAACGAUUUUCUCAUAAUGUGCUUGUCAUGAAAGACUUUCAUUCGUUGCUUGUAAAUCUUGGCAUUUUCGUAUGCAUCAUUGCGAAUUUCUUCAAGUUCUGCCAGUUGUAAUCUUCUUUCUGAGCUGGCUUGCUGCAUGUCAAAGUUGAAUUUCUUGAUGGCCCAAUAUACACGAUGCUCGAGUUCCACAGGUAGGUGGCAAGCUUUUCCAUACACUAGCCUGUAGGGUGACAUCCCAAUGGGGGUCUUGAAAGCCGUUCUAUAUGCCCAUAAUGCAUCAUCAAGUCUUAAUGACCAAUCUUUUCUGUCUGGCCUCACCGUCUUUUCUAAUAUGUGCUUUAUUUCUCGAUUGGAGAUCUCAACUUGGCCACUGGUUUGCGGAUGAUACGGGGUUGCCACUUUGUGUGUGAUUGAAUACUUUGUCAAAAGAGCUUUGAAUGCUUUGUUACAAAAGUGGGCACCACCAUCACUGAUUAUCGCUCGAGGGAAUCCAAAGCGUGAAACAAUGUUGCUUUUCAAAAAUCCUAUCACCACUUUGUGAUCAUUGGUUCUGCAUGGAAUUGCUUCCACCCAUUUCGAUACGUAGUCAACACCAACCAAUAUGUAUUGAUGACCAAAAGACGGAGGAAAGGGUCCCAUGAAGUCGAUACCCCAUACGUCAAAAAUCUCAACCACUAAAAUUGGAUUUAGUGGCAUCAUGUUCCUUCGUGUAAUGCUCCCCAUUCGUUGACACCUAUCACAUGAAGAACAGAAAGUGUAAGUGUCUCGAAAUAUAGUUGGCCAAUAGAAACCACAUUGUAAAACUUUUGUAGCUCUUUUCUUAGCACUAAAAUGGCCUCCACACACUUGUUCAUGGCAGAAUGAAAGGAUAUUUUGAAUUUCACUUUCUGGGACACAUCGCCUAACAAUUUGAUCUGCACAAUACUUGAACAAAUACGGGUCAUCCCAAAAGAAAUUCUUUAUUUCCGCAAAGAAUUUAGCCUUGUCUUGCUUGGUCCAAUGCUCUGGAAGUUUACCUGUAACAAGAUAAUUAACUAUAUCAGCAUACCAAGGUAAUACUUCCACAUUCAUUAAUUGUUCAUCUGGAAAUGACUCAUUCAAUGGUAAUGGUUCCAUAAUUGUAUCAAAAUGGAGGCGAGAGAGAUGGUCAGCUACAACAUUCUCUGUGCCUUUCUUAUCUUUGAAUUCCAAGUCAAAUUCCUGCAAAAGUAACACCCAACGAAUUAGUCUAGCUUUUGCAUCUUUCUUUGUGAGAAGAUAUUUAAGAGCAGCAUGAUCUGUGAAUAUAAUUAUUUUACAACCAAUGAGAUAAGAUCGAAAUUUCUCUAAUGCAAACACUACUGCUAGCAUUUCUUUUUCAGUAGUUGAAUAAUUCAACUGUGCAUCAUUCAAUGUCAUACUAGCAUAGUAAAUAACGUGGGGAAUUCGAUCAACUCUUUGUCCUAAUACUGCUCCUACUGCAUAAUCAGAUGCAUCACACAUGAGCUCAAAUGGUAAGUUCCAGUUUGGGGCUUGAAUAAUAGGUGAUGAUGUCAACAACUGCUUUAAUUUUUCAAACGCCAUAAGACAUGAAUCAUUAAAGAUAAAAGGUACAUCCUUAGCAAGUAAAUUGCAUAAGGGUCUAGAAACUUUGCUAAAAUCUUUAAUGAAACGUCUAUAGAAACCAGCAUGCCCAAGGAAAGAUCUUACUUCUCUGACUGUUUUAGGUGGAGGAAGAUUAGAAAUGAGAUCCACCUUGGCUUUGUCAACCUCAAUACCUUUGCUCGAAAUGAUGUGACCGAGAACAAUACCUUGUUUUACCAUAAAAUGGCACUUCUCCCAAUUCAAGACUAAGUUCUUCUCGGUACAUCUCUGCAGAACUAGCGUUAGAUGAUGUAAGCAUUGAUCAAACGAGUCACCAAAGAUAGAAAAAUCAUCCAUAAAGACUUCAAGGAAUCGUUCAACCAUAUCAGAAAAAAUGCUCAACAUGCAUCGUUGAAAUGUAGCAGGUGCAUUACAUAAUCCAAAUGGCAUUCUCCUAUAUGCAAAUGUGCCAAAAGGGCAAGUGAAAGUGGUCUUCUCUUGAUCUUUUAGUGCUAUGGGAAUCUGAUUAUAUCCUGAGUAGCCAUCUAGAAAGCAAUAAAAUUCAUGGCCUGCUAAUUUAUCAAGCAUUUGAUCAAUAAAUGGUAAAGGAAAAUGGUCUUUACGUGUGACAGAAUUCAACUUUCUAUAAUCAAUGCAUACACGCCAUCCUGUAGUUACUCUAGUUGGUAUCAAUUCAUUAUCAGCAUUGGUAACUACUGUGACUCCUGACUUUUUGGGGACGACUUGUACAGGACUGACCCAUGAACUAUCAGAAAUUGGGUAAAUGAUACCUGCAUCUAAUAGCUUAAGGACUUCAGUUCUAACAACUUCUUUCAUGUUAGGAUUUAACCGACGUUGCAUCUCCCUAGUAGUUUUAGCAUUUUCAUCAAGGUGAAUGUAAUGCAUGCAGUCUACUGGGUUUAUACCUUUUAUGUCUGCUAUGGUCCAUCAUAAUGCCCCUUUGUGCUCUUUUAAAACAUCCAACAACUUACCUUUUUGUUUGUCAUUUAGGGAUGAUGAGAUGAUUACCGGUAGAGUACUUUCUUCUCCCAAAAAUGCAUAUUCCAAUGUGUUGGGCAAUGGUUUGAGCUCGAGUUUUGGUGGUGAUUCUGAUGAUGGGAUGAGUUUCUUUUCUGAUGGUGCUAGUUGUUCAACUCUUGACUUCCAUUUAUUAGUGUCCAUGGAUGGUGCUGAGUCAAGUAGAGCAUUGACCUCAUCGACCGAUCUGUCAAUAUCAAAAUCAAAACCAAAGUGAGUUAAGCAUGUCUGUAAAGGAUCAUCACUAAGGUUUGAAAUAAAAGUAUUAUCGACUAUUGUUUCUAUUAAAUCCACAUCAACAAUUCCAUCAUCUGCACUGUGAGGUUGUUUGGCAAUGUUGAAGAUGUUUAGCUCCAUAGUCAUGUUGCCGAAGGACAAUUGCAUAUUUCCGGUCCUACAUUGAAUAUGAGCAUCUGCAGUUGCCAAGAAAGGUCGGCCUAGAAUAAUGGGGAUGUGCUUCCUUGAGUCCUGUAUUGGUUGAGUGUCAAUUACAAUGAAAUCAACAGGAAAAUAAAACUUGUCUACCUGGAUAAGCACGUCCUCCACAAUACCACGAGGUAUUUUUGUGGACCGAUCUGCAAGUUGUAACACCACUGGAGUUGGGUGUAAUUCUCCCAGUCCAAGUUUCACGAAUACAGAGUAAGGCAACAAAUUUACACUAGCUCCUAAAUCCAACAAAGCAUUCUCAAUUGUGUGGUUCCCUAUGCUACAUGAAAUAGUGGGGGAACCUGGGUCUUUGCAUUUUAAAGGAAUUUUAUGUUGGAGUAUAGAACUAACGUUUUCUGUUAAAAAUGCCUUCUUUUGAACAUGCAUAUUUCUCUUUUUAGUACAAAGGUCUUUAAGAAACUUGGCAUAAGAUGGAACUUGCUUUAUAGCAUCAAGUAAAGGGAUGUUAACACUUACCUGUUUGAAGAUUUCGAGAAUCUUACCUGUGGAUUUUCCUUUCUUUCCUUUCACUAACCUCUGAGGAAAUGGAGCUUUGGGAACGUAUUCUCGUGGGUUGGUUUCUUCUUUUUCCUCCGGUGGUGAGUCCUCAGCAUUUACAGGUACAAUUUGAUUUUCUUUUGUCACCGGCAUCUCCACUUUAUUGUCGACUUCUUUUCCUUUUCGCAAGGUCAUGACUGCUUUGACCUCCCCAUGCUGCUGUGGUGAACUGGUACUUGCUUCAUGUACUCCUUUAGGAUUAGGCACUGGUUGACUUGGAAAUUUACCUUUCUCAACAGUCAUUGCCAAUGUCUGAACUGAAGAAGCGAGUUGUCCCACCAUCUUCUCGAGGCUUGAAACUGAUUGGGCUUGUGAGUUAAAGCCCGCUCUCAAUUCAUUUCGUAGUCCAUCAAUGGUGCGGUUCUGUUGCUCAAUGGUAGAAUGAGUAACAUUCUUGAAAUUCUGGAAUGCAUCCUCCCAUGGUCUGGGUUGAGAGUAGUUCUGGUUCUGAUUGUAUGGUCUGAAUGGUGGCUGAGAGGCUUGAGGAUUUUGAGGAAUUGGUUGCAUUGGUGGAGCUGGAGCUGCUGGUCCAUUCUGUUGAAAUCCUUGAGACCAUGAAAAAUUGGGGUGGUCUCUCCAUCCAGGAUUAUAUGUGUUGGAGUAUGGGUUGUAAUUAGAUGGCUUUCUCAUUACACCUAUGGCAUUGGCUUGAUCUGGAUAUGAGUCAGGGUCAUGUGAUUCUGUUGAUUUAGCAGUCGAUAACGAUGCUAUUUGUCGAGCAAGACCUUCAACCAUCUCCUUGACUUCUUUGAUUCCCGAAGUUGACUCGCCAAUGUGAACCUCAUUCACUCCUUUAAUCCUUCUAGUAUUCCUGAGUGAUCGACUCCGUUGUUGGGAAUUGUCCGCUUGUCGCUGGAAGAAUUCCCAAAUCUCUGUUGCGCUUUUUGACAUUAGCUCUCCUCCACUUGUUGCCAUUAGCCAUUCUUGCACAUUCGGCAAUAAUCCCUCCAAAAAGUAUUGGCAUUGGUGCCAUUUUUCGUACCCAUGAUGUGGACACUUCAAGAGUAGCCCAUUGAAUCGCUCCCAAGUUUCGAAAAACUGCUCGUCCUCUCUUUGUGUAAACUCUGAAAUUUCCCUGCGAAUAGCAUUGGUUUUAUGCACUGGGAAAUAUUUAUUCAAAAAUUUCGUUACCAUUUGUUCCCAUGAUGAAAUGCUAUUGGCAGGCAAUGUAUUAAGCCAUGAACGAGCUCUAUCCUUUAAAGAAAAUGGGAAUAAUCUGAGUUUAACAUCAUCGUCUGAAAAAUUUUCAUAUUUAAAAGUUUGACAAAUUGCAUGAAAAUCAUUCAGAUGAUUAUAUGGGUCCUCAUUUUCUAAGCCAUAGAAUGUGGGGAGACAAUUUAACACACUAGGUUUUAAUUCAAAACUCCUAGCAGCUACAUUUGGGUAUCUUAUGCAUGACGUGCUCAAAUUAGCUAAGGGACUAAAAUAGUCCUUAAAUGGCCUCUCCUGUGGUGCUUGUAAAUCCAUUCCAAAUUUAUUUUUAAUGUGCUUUUGUGUGCGAAGUGUUUUUUCUAAUUCAAGGUCUAUAGGUUCAAGAUUUGGUAAUAAUGACCUACGACCAUGCAUGCAAAAUAAAUAAAAUAAAAAUAAAGAUGCAAACAAAACAAAAAAUAAAGAUGGGAACAAAACAAAUAAAAAUAAAUAAGAGGGAGAAAUUACGACACUAACCUUAUUGCGCUAUUACAACCUUUCUAUAAAAAUACAUAAAAACAAAUACGUGAAAUAAAUUAACUAAAAAUUAAAUUAAUAAAAUAAACAAAAAUUACAAAGAAAAAAUAAAUUGAAAAUUAAAUUACAGAAUUUUAAAGAAGAGAAAAAGAAAAGAAAUACUAACCUCUAAAUGCGGAUUCACUUUUUUUUUUUUUAAUAAAAAAUACAAGAAAACAAUUUAAAAUAAAUUAUUCACAAAAAUUAAUUCUAUGAAUUAAAAUUACUUACCUCCCCGGCAACGGCGCCAAAAACUUGUUGUGCAAAUUUUAAUGUACUCGCAAGCGCACGAAUCAAUUGUAGUGUAGAUCAAUGGUGACGAGUGUCGAUCUCACGAGGAGGUGGAUUUUAAUUAUAUAUAGAAUUAAUUUUGUAAAUGGGUGGUUGGAAUUAUGGUGGAAAUGAUUUGGAAUAUGCUAAAACUUAAAUUAAAAUGGCGAGAAUAAAUUCUAAAAUUGGAAUUGCAAUGGCGAGAAUAAAUUGAAGAUAAUUCUAUUGAAAUGACGUACUUGGGUAUUCGGAUCCGUAUCAACAUGCAUCAUGGGCUAAAUAUUUCUUAUUAAUGCCAAUUAAAUUAUGAGGGGGGAAUCCACACCUCAUGAACCACGCUCUAAUCAAUAUGGUGCUAAGGGCUUAUCGUGCCAAAUAAUAAUAACCUUAUACUAGAAAGCCGGUGUAACCAAGGCGGUAUCUAGACAAGAUCAGUAUUAUUUGUCGACGAUAAGUCAAAUCAUCCACAAAAACUAGAGGGGAAAAGAAAAUAAAUUUACCAAAUAAAGCCCAUGACACAUGUUGAGACUUCACCUUCAACCCAAGCUUGAAAGGAAAUUAGCUACUCAUAAUUGAACUAGGGGCAAAAUGGGAAUUUAUUAAAAUACAAAGAAAAUACAAGAUGGAGAAGGAAUUACAGAAAAUGGAUCCCAAAAAUGGAUUCAGAGAUAUCAAAUUAGGGGGGGGAGGCCCCCUUUUUAUAGAUACAUGGAGUAAAUCAUGGCCAUCGGAUUAAAAACAGUUUGGACGCUCAGGAUUGCGCCACGUCAUCAGUCAACAGUCCACGGUUUGACCACGCGGAUGAACAGUAACACGGUUUGACCUGGAUGAACAGUAACGCGGUUUGGUUGAAAAUAAUCCUGUGUGAUGCAUGCACCGUACGCGAGAUUUUUCGUCCACUGAUAUGCUGCCACGUCACCAUCAACAGUACAUAAGAAUUUUAGUCCAACAGGAUCGUGACAGCUCAUCAGUCAAUGCCACAUCAUCGGUCAAUGCCACGUCAUCGAUCCGUCUAUGUGAACAGUGCCGUGAACAGUAACAUAUUCAGUACCGUAUACGUGAAUAGUACCGUACAUGUGAAUAGUGCCAUUUUUCCUUUUAUGCCCCUCCUAAGGUUUUCGACCGUCCUGAGUUCAAAAGUGAUGUCCGUUUUGCCAUCUGAUCUCUCCUUUAUUGUGAAAUGGCUAUAAUGCCCCUAAAAUACAUAAAAUACUUAAUUAAAAUAAAACACAUGUAAUUAAAUCACAAGAAGGUUAAAUACAUAAAAGUAAGGGUUGUUAAUAAGACUUGAAAUGUAAAAUGACGGUUUUCUCCUUUAUAAAUAUGUAUUUUCUAACACUCAACAGUUGGUGUGGGCAUUCUGUUUAUGAGGUAAACGGCGGUGGCAAAAGCAUAUGGCCAAUAUUGUAAAGGUAUUGAUGCAUGGGACAAAAGUACAAGACCAGUUUCAACAACAUGCAGAUGGCGACGCUCAGACAUACCAUUGUGUUCUGGGGUGUGUGGGGGGAGUGGUGAGAUGAGAAAUUCCAUUUGUAGAAAGAAAAUUGGUUAGUGCAAUGAAUUCACUACCGUUGUCAGAGUACAAGGUUUUGAUGGGUUUUUCAAAUCGUUUUUCAACAAUGGCCUUGUAUCUUAUAAAAACUUCUUUGACAUUAGAUUUAUUUUUCAAUGGGUAAAACCGGAUAUAUUUUGUGUAGUGAUCGCCAAAAAUAACAUAAUAUUUGUAUCCAUUAACAGAGACCACAGGAGACGUCCAAACAUCAGUGUAUAUAAUUUCAAGAGGAUGUGAAGAUGAUAUUGUAGAUUUUAAAAACGACAACUUAUGACUUUUAUUUGACAAACACGCAUUACAAUUGACAUCAGACAGCAUAGAAGACGUUACACUGAGUUUAUUGGAAGAUAGAGUUUGUUUUAAAAUGGGAAUGGCAGGAUGUCCUAGCCUAUGAUGCCAAGUAGAAGAUAAGGUCAUGACACUUGAAAAGGAAAUAAUUGGGGUGGAGUCUGGCCACUCAUAUACGCCACAUUUAGCUUGGCCUUUCAAAAGUGUUGUCCCUGUGCUGAGUUCCUUCACAAGAAAAGUAUCUGGUAAGAAUUCUAUGGAAGCAUUGUUAGAAUUGCAAAAUUGAUAAAUAGAAAUAAGAUUUCUUCUCAUGCUUGGAACAAAUAGGACAUUGUCUAGAAGAAAAGACUUAUAAGGAGAGUUUAAAGUUGUUGAACCAGUGUGAGUUAUUUGUAACUCAGAUCCAUCCCCUAUCAUCAUAUCAUCACCUCCUCUGUACGGGUUAUGUAAAGAGAGAUUUUCCAGAUCAGCUGUUACAUGAUGCGAUGCACCACUAUCUAGGAGCCAGGUUUGAUUGUUGUUUGUUGUGGCUGCAUAAUUUGCUUUUGGCUGCCAUGGGGUGGAUGAGUGGUUAUUGUUUGACUGCACGGUUUGCAAUUUGUAGAAUGGACAUUUCUUGGCAGUGUGCCCUUGAAUGCGACAGAGUUGGCAGUAGCCAAGGUAUGGGUGUUGUUGUCGCUGAGUGGAAUUGUUGUUUUGGGUCACUUCUGUGUUGUGGUUAGGGUUGGAGGAGUUUUGGUUGGUUCCGUUGUUGAUACGCCAAUUGUUGUUAGUACGAGUUGUCACAUGGGCUGUUAUUGGGAAAAAUUGUGUCAGGUUUUGAAGUGUUUAGAGAUGCCUCAAAAUUGAGCAACUUCUCAUGAAGUUCUUCGAAUGUGAUAGGGGUGUCCCUGGCUUGUACAGCUCGGGCCAGCUCUUUAUAGUCAUCUCCGACAGCCUCUAGAAUUUUGUCUGUAAGAUCAUCUUCGUCAUAAGGUGCGCCAAGAAGCGUAAGUUCAUCUGCCCGAGCCUUAAUAUUUUGGAGAAAUUCUGUAAUAGAUGCUAACCCUCUAAUCAUUUGUCUAAUCUGGCUUUUAACUUGCUUAAUUCGUCCUUUGGAAGGCUUUGCACAGGUGUUGGCAAGCGUUAUCCAUGCUUCUUUGGAUGUUUUGGCAGUGGCCACAAACGGGAUGAUGUUGGGUGAGAUGGAGCCAAUUAUGGCAUUGAGGAUCAAUUGAUCCUGGCGAACCCAAAGUAAAUGACCUGGAUUCGGGGUAGUAGUGUUGUUGUCUGUUAUUGUAGCUGAAGGACAAGGUUUAGAACCAUCUAUAUAGCCAAGAAGGUCAUAGCCUGCGAAGAGAGUUUGAAACUGCAAUUUCCAUGAUAAAUAAUUGGAUGAUGUGAGCUUGAGAGGAGUUUGUGCAGCUACAUUAAUGGUGAUUAAGGUGUUGUUGAGGUCAUUAGUGUUUCUGAUGGUGGUGGCCAUUGCAGGAUUUUCUUUCCAGAAAUAAGGAGAGAAAUGGAGAGCCUCUAGUGCUCUGAUACCAUAAAGACUUAAGAGGAAACGAUGAGAAGGCUUAAUCAAUUUCAUUGAUUUACACAUACCAAUAUAUACAGCAAAGAGUGCAACAGCUACCUAUAUUAUUGGUUUGUUACAACUGAAUAUAUCUUUACAUUCAAAAUACUUUGAACAGGUAAACUCCUAUAAUCAUGGAGGAGAAUCCUCUAUCACACAUUACAUAAGGAAACAUAAAUUCAUACAUACAUACAUGACAAAACUGCACUAAAUAGUACUAUGGGGAAAUAACUCUCAGUACGCAUAGCCAUCGUCAUUGUCGGAGUAUAGCGAGGGAAAACUCGUUCAAUACCCAGUGGAAUUUAACUACAUCGCAUGGAUAGAGUAACCUAAUUCUCAAUACGCAUGUAUAGAGCCUAUAGGGAAGGGUACACAUACAGUGACUGGCAAUCAUAUCUCAUGGCUAUAUCAAAGAUAUAAUAUGCAUACAUGUAAUCAUGACAUGAUAUUGGAUCAUGCUAUCAACCAAAAUAUGUCACAUAAAAUAUAAUAGUAAUAAUAAUAUCCACUCAUAUCUCUUGAUUCACUCUAGGGUUCGUUGGGGCUCUUGUAGGUGUCUGGAUUUUCAGAUUUCUCCUAAAAUAUAGGGUUUAAAAAUUAACUGUUAGAACUAAUAUAAUAACUUAUACAUAUGAUGUAAAUUAAAUCAUAAUUACUUAAAAUUCAUAAAUCUAUUACCCUUUGAUCACUGAAUAUAGAUCUAAAUGCCCAAUUCUAUUUCCUGUAAUAUUUCCUCUUACUUCCUCUUUUUAACUUCUUUUUCACUCUCGGGUUUCCUUUUCUUUCUUAUUAUUUCCUUUUCUCUUUUCUUUUCCUUUUUCUUUUCUUUUUCUCUUUUUCUUUUUUUCCUUUUCUCACUAUCUCUAUUUCGAUCUCGAUUGCAAAUAAUCUCUAAUUGUGCAAUAGCUCUCAAUUUCCAACUUGAUAAAAUAAAGUGGCUUAUAAUAUUUUUCAAUUUAUAUAGCCUGCGACCCUAUGAAUCCAAGUGAGCAGGUGAAAAAUUCAAUGAAAUAGACAGCUAAAGCAAUUGAAGCAUGCAUGUGAACUUAUAAGGCAGGCUGCUGGCUAUUUUCAACUCAAUAAGCCACAUGUGGCCUCUUAAUGCACAAGCAAUGCAUGACAAUUCCUCUCAACUUAUAAAAAUUUCAUCCUACAAAUUUAAAUGCCUAACUGAAAUAAAUAUGGAUAUGGUGAUUGCAUUUGUUCUUCAUGCUCCUAGGUGGCCUUCUUUACUGUAUGACCCUUCCACAUCACCUUAACCAGUGAGCAUUACUACAAAAAUGUAAAACAAUGACACAUACAUUAUGACGGUUUAUUUAAAAAACCGUCAUUAAAAAUAUUUAAUGACGGUUAUUAUAUGAACGGUCAUAAUAUAUACUAUUUAUAAUGACGGUUCUAUUAUAAAACCAUCAUUAAAUAUCAUUCCAAAAUAUAAUUUUACUUUUAAUGACGGUUACUUGUAAAAACAGUCAUUAUAAAUUUCAAACUUUUAAUGACAGUUCUAUUAUAUAACCGUCAUUAAAUAUCAAGUUAUUAUUUUUAAUGACGGUUUAUAAAAAAAAUCGUCAUUAAAAGUAAUUACUUUUUAUGACGGUUUUACUAUAUAACCGUCAUUAAAUAUCAAGUUAUUAUUUUUAAUGAUGGCUUUUUUAUAAACCGUCAUUAAAAGUCAUUACAUAUUAAACUAUUAUUUUUUAUGACGGUUCUAUUACAUAACCGUCAUUAAAUAUCAAGUUAUUAUUUUUAAUGACAGUUUAUAAAAAAAACCGUCAUUAAAAAUUAUUACAUAUUAAAUUAUUAUUUUUUAUGACAGUUCUACUAUAUAACCGUCAUUAAAUAUAAAAUCAUUAUUUUUAAUGAUGAUUUUUAAACAAAACCGUCAUUAAAAAUCACUAAUGACGGUUACAUAUAUAAACUGUCAUUAACUAUAAAAUGUUAUUUUUAAUGACCGUUUUUAAACAAAACCGUCAUUAAAAAGCCACAAUAUUUUUAAUGACGGUGUUUAAUAACCGUCAUCGAAUAGAAAGAAUAUUUUUAAUACAUUUCAUGACCGUUUUAUAAUAACAGUCGUUAUAUGUUAUUUGCCUUAAAAAAUUUAUAAAAAAAAGCCGAUAAAAGGAAUAAAGGAAACGCGCAAUCCCUAACCACUCACAUUCCUUGUCUUCUUCUUCAAUUUUCACGAAUUACAAUCACAACGACUCACUCAGUCACACACACCAGCCCUAACCCUACCUAAGCUAUCAAACGCCAAUGCCGCUGCCGCUGUCAAAUCGAUUCAAGUGCUCCGGCGCUGAGUCUAGCCGUCCUUGAGCCGAUUUGCUUCCUUUUUCUGCCGCCGCUGUCAAUCUCUGCCAUUUUUGAGCCGAUUCACUUCCGCAAAACAGCUGCUGUCAUCUCUGCCGACAUUGCCUCUGUGUUCGUUCACCGUCAGAUGCAGUGUUAUUGUGGUGACACUGCCUCCGCUGUCAAGUCAGUUCAAAUUUUCUGGGUGCUAUCUCGAAAAUAUUGGUGAGAUUGUUGCCAAUGAUAUUCUAAAAUUUUGAAUUCAGGGUUAUUGUUUCACCACUGUGAGUUGCUUUCUCCAAUUUUGCAAUUCUUUCCUCUUAAUUUGCUUUGAAAUAUUUGCUCGUUGGAUUUAUUUCCUCUUCAUUUAUAAUCGAUUUGGUGAUUUUGUGUUGUGUAGCUUGUACCUUAGUCUCUCCUUUUCCUUUCAUAAUAUUAUAAAAUAUGUCGUGCACUUUGGCCUUUCGUUUCUUGAUUUUCUUGGUUAAUGAAUUUGGAAAAAGAGUGAAUUAUGGGUAAGGGGAUAGAAAAUCACAUUGACAGAAAAGAGGACUGAAACGCCUUGAUUUUUACUAAGUGGAGUUUACUUAUUUGUUAAAAAAAUAAAUUUUAAAUUAUUAAUGAUUUAAUUGUCUUAUGCUUAUUAUAUUGUUCUUAAAAUUUUUGUUACAAGUCCAGCCCAUGAACCUCUUUAUGUUUUAGCAUUUCUUUAUUUAUUUACGAAACGAAAACCAGCGUUCGAAUUCAAAAGGAACAAAACAGAAAAAGGAAGAAAGGAAACAAGAGGAUAACAGGACGUGAGAGAGGAGAAGAGGGAGAAAGAAGAGAAAGACAAGAGAGGCUAGGUGAAGGAUUUGGAUUUAAAGAGAGAGAAUUCAAUUUCAGAGGAAAAUAUUAAAUAUCUGGCUUUUUAAAUUUGUAAGCCUUAUUCAAUUUCAGAGCAAAAUAUUAAAUAUCUGGCUUUUUAAAUUUGUAAGCCUUCUUUCUCAGUUCACUUUAUUCUUUUAUUUUUCUUCAAAAUUCUUGUUUAAAUUGGCAUGCAUGUUGAUGUUGUUAAGUCAUUUCUAAAUUAACUUGCAUGCAUGAUUAAAAUUCUGUUUAUUUAGGUAUUAUGUCAUUGAAAUUAGUCUCUUUUGCCAUGCUUGUUUCAAGUUCCGAUUCUUAUUUGAAAAAAAAAAUUUCUAUGUUUGUUCCAUAAUCUGUUUUGGGUAUUAAAGUUGAUACUACCUAGCAAAUUCUAAACUGUAAUGGCUGAUUUCUUCUCUUAUUUUUGUUUAAUCUAUUCAAAUUCAUGUAUAAAUUUACAGGUGUCAGAUAUUUGCCUAAUUAUCAUGUAUGUGUUAAAUUCAUUUUGGGUGAAUUUUUAUACUAUUUAAUCAACUUCAAAGUUACAUGGGUUUGGCCAAUUAUCACAUAAUCUCUUCUUUGACUAUUUGAUUGGAUUUUUGUUCAUGUGUGGCUUAAUUAAUUUCGAAAUCUUCUUACUUGUGAGUGUGGUCAAACCCCAAACAAAUGAAGAAGUCUUCUGGUUUUAUGUCUUAAAUAGAGUGCCUGUAAAUAUAAAAUCGAGAUUGAGCUAAUGAGUGAAAAUGAUGAUACUUGGAUUUUUUGAGGCUCUGUUUUUUUUUUCUUUACUUUAAAAGCUAAUUUGUUUAGCUUUACCUUUGAUUUGAAUUUUUUGCUUCUGUUCUUUGCAGCCAACCUAUGAAAAUGGUGAUAAUCGGGCUCCAAUAAAUAUUGAUUUAAUAGGAACCACAUUGGUAAGCCUAGUUGCAAGACAAGAACUACUUUGCAAAGCAUGCUAUGUGUAUAAUUCUGAGCAUUAAGGAUUCAGUUUCUGAAGGGCAAGCUUGCUGGCUGGGUAUAAAUGUUCCAAGUGCCAAUCCCACCUUAUGUAAGCACAAAAUAUAGUCUCCAUUUCCUUUUUGGAUUAUAUUUGUUUGUAUAGUUAUAUGAUACUGGAUUUUAAUUUAAGAAUUUGUGCAGUACAUUUUUUUACUGUUAGGAGUUAGUUUGAUCAAGGUUAUUUAAGUACUAAACUGUUAUAAUUGAGCUUGUAUGCAUUUAAGUUCUUUAUAUGUAAAUGACAAUUAUAUCAAUGUGUAAUGUAAAUUGAAAUUUGC